rnacentral:lncRNA from 1 species
GAGCAGGUGAUCUCUGAGACGCGCCGCCUAAUGGAGCGAUACAAGGAUGAAGGAAAUGAACUGAGCAUCACCAUCACCGGCCACAGCCUCGGAGGCGCGCUCGCAUUGCUCAGCGCAUACGACAUUGCCGAGACCGGUCUGAAUGUCCUCCCUGAUGGCCGGCGUGUGCCGAUCACUGUAUUUACAUUUGGCAGCCCCCGGGUCGGCAACCGGCGGUUCGCAGAUCGGUGUGAUGAGCUUGGCAUACACGUCCUGCGUGUGUUUAACAAACAUGACAAAGUGCCCACGGUACACAAAGAAUGUCCAUUACACACUUGUUCAAAUUCACUGUGGAAAUGCUCUCUACUACUCUCAUAAACUCACUCUCUCACACACAAAACAAAGAAGAAAAAUAGUAAAUAGGAUGAGUGUGCACUCGGACCCUUCAAUCGUUCAUAUUCGAUCUUGGCUGUGCACCCUUCAAUGGUUCAUAUAUUGGACAGGCUUAUCCAAAGGCACACAUUUUGUUUUCUUUUUUGAUGUUUUUUUUUUAAUACUAGUUGAGAAUUCGUAUGAAAUUUGCUUUCAUGUAUCUUUCUAAGGUAAAUACAAUAAAAAUAAUAAUUCAAUAAAAAUAACCAAAUACCCAGGUAUUUUGGUCAUUUUUUAUUUCAUUUAUUUGUUUUUUAUGAAAUUUAAAUGAAAAUCAUGUUUUUAUGUUUAGAAUUUAAAAAUAAUCUCAUAUAUUUUGUAUUUUACAUUUACAACCCACUGUUUAUAGUGGUAUUGUAUUUUAACUUUGGGUUUUGUUAGGAUACACCACUUGGUAGUGUACAUCUUUAAAGUGCUCCAACAUUUUUUGACACUAAAAUACCUGUAAUACAAUAUUUUUCAAGUAGACGCAUUUUUUAGUCAUUUAAAAAGGUAGGAUGGAUAUUUUUAUAAAAAAAUAAUACCAUUCUAUUAGUAGUUAAAAACAAUUAAUACAGCUUGUAAGUGAAUUCAUACACUAUCGGUAAUGCCAUUGCCUACUAUUGUUAAUAAAUACUUUUAUUUCUAUUAGGAUUUCAGGUCAGCCCUUACUUAAAAUACACCUUGAAAAAGAAUCUCCAUUUUCUAGGCCAAGUUUUCGGUGUUCAAGAAGUUAAGAUCCAAACUUUUUCUUAGAAAUACUCACCUAGUAAUACUUAUAUGAAUCCCAAAAAAAAAUUUUAAAAAGAAGAAUUGUUGAUUCCGCAUGAGCAUAUACUAUGUAUUUGCUCCCUCGAGUAAAACUCAUAUUGUCAAUAUUUUGUGGACCCCAAAUUUUGGGGAUGUAACUUCUAGAACUUAAUAAACAACUUUUUCCCAAAAAAAAAGUAAAAGAAAAAAGACUCUCUAUAGGCUUUUAAAUUAAGGUCCCAAUAAUAAGAACUUGGCCAAGAUUUAGGUGUUAAAAAAAUUAAAAUCCUAAUUUGUUUUUCCGGAAAUAAUCGUCUAGUGAUACUCACAUGGACCCGGAUAAAAAAAACUUCUAAAUCACUCUUUUAUCCUAGGUACUUACCCCCACAGUACGCUCCAAUAGGAGAAGUAAAUAGGGCAAGUCAACCUUACCUGACAAGGUCCAACAAUCGACACCAACUUGAUUGGAUAUGUUGGGUCUAAGUGAUCGAAAUCGAGUUAGAAUCAAAAUUGAAAAAUUAAAUUUAUCAUAAUUUAUUUUAUAUUGUUUAUAAUAUAUAAGAUAAUUGUUAUUAUGGGAUACACUGCAAUCGAUCCCAACCCGGUUGGGUCUGGGCUGGAUCCGACCUAUCCAACCAGACAAUUGAGUCCACACUUCUAAAUCGGAUGAUCUAGGAAAACGGUAAUGUAUUAAGAUCUGGCCCGAAUCUACCCAACCUAAUUUCCAAGCCUAUUUUAUGAUUUGCUUAAAAUUAUUUUCAUAUGAAAAAAUUCUCUCACACGGUCAAGUGUGUAAAUAGUUUUACAUCAAUUAGUUGUUAAUUGGUGUGGAAUGAUAUACUAUGAUCUAUUGGUAGGAAAAUAUUCAUAUACAUGACUGUAUGAGAAAUUUUUUUCAUGUGAAUAUAUUUUUAAGAAAAUAUCUUCUUGUUAACAUAACGUGGCAUUAAGGAAUUUCCAAAUGGAAAAAAUGAGGGACAGAUCACUCAUGAUUAGCAAGCUGUUUUUACAAAUAGGAAAAAUGAGGGACGAUUACUCAUGAUCAGAUACAGGACCAAAGAUGUACGAGUCUGUUAAUUAGUAGAUAGUGGAAAAUUAGUCUUACUGGUGAUAAAUGGCUCAUUCAAAGUGGGUUUUAUUCUUCUCUGUAAGUGCAUUCCAUUGCCACGGUUCAUAUCAGGUACCAGGCAUGAUCAUCAACGAGGAUGUUGCCGUGCCUGACAUUGUGGCGGACAUCAUGCCGUGGAGCUACUCACACGUGGGGGUAGAGCUGGAACUCGACCACAAUGUAUCCCCGGUUGUAGAAGCCGGGCUCGCCAUCCCGGCGCGGCACAACUUGGAGCUCUACCUCCACUUGGUGAAUGCAUAUAAUGGGCCGAAAGGUGGCUUCAAACCAGCUUACAAGAGAGACCCGGCGUUGCUCAACAAGAGCGACACCAUUCUGAAAGAGAAAUUUCAUAUGCCGCCGUGCUGGCGUCAGGAUGAGAACAAGGGCCUGGUGCGGGCGCAAGACGGACGGUGGGUGGUGCCCGAGAGGACAAGCAUCGAUGCACACCCUCCUGACACCGACCACCACUUGGAGCAGGCACUCAAAAUUGCACCUGGUUCCUCUGCUACCACCUCUGCAUCUUCUUGAGACUGCUUGCCUCCUUGUCAUCUGCGUACAAAUCGAUCCACUUACUGUGCUUCUCGAACUGCUCAAUCUUCUGCAGCACCCGUGGAUUAAAUUCCUGUAGCUUUGCAUUUCUACAGUAUGGUUUGUUAAUGACACUAAGCGUUAAUAGUAAAUAAAGUGAGGAAUAAAUGGGGUUUUCUCCCCAAACAUUAGUGUUUUUUUUUUUGGAUCGAAAUGAGGAGGGAUUUCAUGAAGGAAAAAUUUUAUAUAGAGCUGAGGUUCUAAACAAUCAAAUUAGAACCCACUCCAAAAAUUUCACUAGAAGAGGUUGUUUUGAUGUCUAAAUAUCUUCAAAUUGAUCAUCUCACAAUCAAGAUGCAUGGACAUGAGAAAAAAAUAUUUCAAGUUUUGGAAAUAAUUUAUCUUGUAAGGUAUGUUUUGGACCAUCCAUUUUCAAGUUUUCAAAUAUUUGUUAGAUCUAUAUUUGAAAGUGUGUUUUACUUUGAUUGUUUAGAACCUUGGCUCUAUACAAACCGCACCCUUACAUGAAAUUUAGGAUGGAAAACAGAUCCAACUUUUUGUAGCUCUAGCUGUUGGAUGAAAUGAAAUAAAUGGUACAAAAUAAUUAAUAAAUAAUAUUUUUUAAUCGAAGAUUCAUGAUUGCCAUGGGCAAUAUUAUCGACCUCUCAAAUUUUGGAUCUGAGAUGGAUUUUGGAGAGGGGACGCAUAUAAACAGGUACAUUGUCUGACCCACCAAAACCCUACCUAUAAAAUAAAUAGGGGAAAUUUUAAUAUACUGUUAUGGUUAAAUGCGGUCCACUUGAAAAAUGGAGAUAAAUCUAGGAUCUCAAACCUAUCAAUUAUUUGCCCAAGAAAAACAUAUCUGACUACACCUUCGAAGUAUUUCUCCUCUAGAGCCAUGAUGGUGUGAGUUUAAAAUAGAGAAAAUUGCGUCCCUUCCCCUUUAAUUAACUUUUAUUACUAAAUUCCCCCUCUUUUUACGUUAUUUAAAAAUAUACCCGUUUUUAUUCUGCUUUUUUAAAAAGGGAAUGGUUUUUAUGAGUCAAUGAGUCAGACUCUUAAAAAUCUAUUUUUGAGCUGGAUUUUCGGACCUAACUUUUAAGGACAUGUAAUCUCUAAUAUGGAGAUCAUAAAUAUAAAAAAUUAAAAAUAAAAAUAAAUAAUUAAAAUUAAUAAAUAAAACUAAUUAUUAUAUGAAGAAAUAUUUGGGCCGUUAGUUUCAAUUGUUAUUAGAUAGACCACCUAUUUGCUUCCAUCAUUAAGAUAGAUGCUUUAUACCUUGAGACCGCAUAUUGUAGAAAUGCAAUCCAGCCCGCGUGAAACAAUUUCCUUUUGUAAAUAACCCAAAUGCCUGUACUUCGGAUUUUGAAAAAUAAAAGUCUACCAAUGAAAUUUUUACAAUUUUGGGAUUGCAAGGAUUUCAAACCACGAAACUUUUAUUACUGUCAAUUUGAUUCAACAAUUUUGGGGUCCGAAACCCUAAAAUUUAUUGGGGCAAAACCGUAUAAUAACAUCAGGGUUUCAAACCCCGAAUUCAUUAAUGUUGCCAAAUGGAUUCCAAGUAACAAUUUUGGUAUUCGAAUUUGUUGGUGCAAAACCUAAUAACAUCUUCCGGGGAAUAUAUUGUUGGAUAUGGUGAAUCCAAAAUCACUCAAAUAAGGAAAUCUAAUAGUACGUGGGAUUGAGAUCGAUACUAAUAAGUUUUCUAAAAAAAAUAUAAAUCUAAAAAGAUUAAGAUAUAUAAGAAAUUUCUUACUUAGUGUGGAUUCUUAAGAUAUAUNNNNNNNNNNNNNNNNNNNNNNNNNNNNNNNNNNNNNNNNNNNNNNNNNNNNNNNNNNNNNNNNNNNNNNNNNNNNNNNNNNNNNNNNNNNNNNNNNNNNNNNNNNNNNNNNNNNNNNNNNNNNNNNNNNNNNNNNNNNNNNNNNNNNNNNNNNNNNNNNNNNNNNNNNNNNNNNNNNNNNNNNNNNNNNNNNNNNNNNNNNNNNNNNNNNNNNNNNNNNNNNNNNNNNNNNNNNNNNNNNNNNNNNNNNNNNNNNNNNNNNNNNNNNNNNNNNNNNNNNNNNNNNNNNNNNNNNNNNNNNNNNNNNNNNNNNNNNNNNNNNNNNNNNNNNNNNNNNNNNNNNNNNNNNNNNNNNNNNNNNNNNNNNNNNNNNNNNNNNNNNNNNNNNNNNNNNNNNNNNNNNNNNNNNNNNNNNNNNNNNNNNNNNNNNNNNNNNNNNNNNNNNNNNNNNNNNNNNNNNNNNNNNNNNNNNNNNNNNNNNNNNNNNNNNNNNNNNNNNNNNNNNNNNNNNNNNNNNNNNNNNNNNNNNNNNNNNNNNNNNNNNNNNNNNNNNNNNNNNNNNNNNNNNNNNNNNNNNNNNNNNNNNNNNNNNNNNNNNNNNNNNNNNNNNNNNNNNNNNNNNNNNNNNNNNNNNNNNNNNNNNNNNNNNNNNNNNNNNNNNNNNNNNNNNNNNNNNNNNNNNNNNNNNNNNNNNNNNNNNNNNNNNNNNNNNNNNNNNNNNNNNNNNNNNNNNNNNNNNNNNNNNNNNNNNNNNNNNNNNNNNNNNNNNNNNNNNNNNNNNNNNNNNNNNNNNNNNNNNNNNNNNNNNNNNNNNNNNNNNNNNNNNNNNNNNNNNNNNNNNNNNNNNNNNNNNNNNNNNNNNNNNNNNNNNNNNNNNNNNNNNNNNNNNNNNNNNNNNNNNNNNNNNNNNNNNNNNNNNNNNNNNNNNNNNNNNNNNNNNNNNNNNNNNNNNNNNNNNNNNNNNNNNNNNNNNNNNNNNNNNNNNNNNNNNNNNNNNNNNNNNNNNNNNNNNNNNNNNNNNNNNNNNNNNNNNNNNNNNNNNNNNNNNNNNNNNNNNNNNNNNNNNNNNNNNNNNNNNNNNNNNNNNNNNNNNNNNNNNNNNNNNNNNNNNNNNNNNNNNNNNNNNNNNNNNNNNNNNNNNNNNNNNNNNNNNNNNNNNNNNNNNNNNNNNNNNNNNNNNNNNNNNNNNNNNNNNNNNNNNNNNNNNNNNNNNNNNNNNNNNNNNNNNNNNNNNNNNNNNNNNNNNNNNNNNNNNNNNNNNNNNNNNNNNNNNNNNNNNNNNNNNNNNNNNNNNNNNNNNNNNNNNNNNNNNNNNNNNNNNNNNNNNNNNNNNNNNNNNNNNNNNNNNNNNNNNNNNNNNNNNNNNNNNNNNNNNNNNNNNNNNNNNNNNNNNNNNNNNNNNNNNNNNNNNNNNNNNNNNNNNNNNNNNNNNNNNNNNNNNNNNNNNNNNNNNNNNNNNNNNNNNNNNNNNNNNNNNNNNNNNNNNNUAUAUAUAUAUAUAUAUAUAUAUAUAUAUAUAUAAAAUAUGGAUUAGAUAUCCAAUUCCUAAUGAAAAAGAUUUAUUAGAUAGACUUGUAAAUGCUUGUAUUUUUUCAAAAUUUGACCUUAAAUUUGGAUACUGGCAAAUACAAAUAAAUGAAAACGAUUGCUAUAAAACAACAUUUAAUGUUCCAUUUGGCCAGUAUGAAUGGAAUGUAAUGCCAUUCGGCUUAAAAAAUGCACUAUCUGAAUUCCAGAAAAUUAUGAAUGAUGUUUUUAACCCUUAUAUGACAUCUAUGAUAGUUUACAUUGAUGAUGUUCUUAUUUUUUCAACUGAUAUACAUCAACAUUUUAAACAUUUACAUAUAUUUCUCAAUACUGUUAAAAAUGUAGGACUUGUAGUUUCUGCAAAGAAAAUGGUUCUUUGUCAAACUAAAAUUAGAUUCUCAGGCCAUAAUAUCUUCCAAGGCCCAAUUAUUCCCAUAGAUAGAGCUAUUGAGUUUCUAAUGGCUUUGAUACCAAACAGACUCCAAGAUCUUAUUUUGUCUCAAAUUCUUAAAUUCUAAAGUUAUCUCAGUAACAUAGAGAGCAUAAUGCUAUAAUUUAAUAAUGAUCUAAGAAGAGAAGUGUAGUAUAGAAAGAUAAAUAAAAUAAUAAUGAAUGAAAUAACAGAGAUAUCUAAUAUUAUCCACGUGGUAUAAUUAUUAUUUAGUAUCUUAACGCUAACUAUUAUUUUAAACUGCAUAAUAUGAACAAUCUUUAUUGAUACAGAUUCAAACAAAGUACAUAUUGAUAUAAAGUACAAACAGAGUGAAACUGAAUACAGACGGUAUACAACUUACAAUUUACAAAAGAAGAAACUUGAAAAGUGUUGCCAUUCGUACGGACAGAACGAUGAUAAUUUAUGUAUAUUAUAGUCACACAUUACUGCAAAAUAAAAUAAAAGGUAAUGAAAAGAUCUUACUUGAAAAAGGCUUGCCUGAAGGUUUCGCAGAAGUCAGGCGGAAUGUGAUCGGGUAGAGAGUAAUGAAGCCUUUCUGAAUAGGGAGAGAGAAAGCAGGCAGAGCUUAUGAAACGAGAGAGAGCAGGCGGAGCUUUAGAAGAGGGGGAAUAGGUGAAAGUUCCCUAUACCUCAAGUGAAUGAGAAGAGAGGGUUUUAUAGGCAGGAGUGAGCAGACAAAGGUGUCGAGCUGGAGCUGUUUUGAUUAGACAUAAAGAGUGAAGAGGACGUAAAGAGAAGAAAGGAAUUUGGCAGUGGUGAGCUGACAAAGUGAGCUGGCAGAGUUGAUGAGAAGAAAGGAAUCUUUAAAGUCAGAUAUAACGUAAAGAUAAGGGGUGAAAGAGACAUGACACGAGCAAAAGCAACUUUUGUACAUGACAUGACUAAAAGAAAAAACAAAAGUAACUUUUGUACAUGACAUGACUAAAAAAAAAUAACUUGUGUCGGCCAUAUCGUACGGAAGGUAUCUUGAUUAGUGACUUCCGUCGCUUCUGUCGUACGGCUGAUGCCAUCUGUUGACCCCUUUUGGAUGUAUAUACAGGUGGCUUCACUGGAAAGGAGAAUGUGACAACUGUCUAAAACGAUAGCUGAUAUUCUUUACAGUUUGCUGGGCUGAGCAGGGCUUAUUCGGGUCUUUGCCUGAAGUCAUUGUCGGGCUUAGAUGAAGGAGAUGUGGCUUUUGAGGUUUCUUUAUGUGUGAUCUUUAAUAACUGAUUCUCUAAUUCAUCUUUAGUUGCUCUAGGGUUUUGUCUUAUAUAUUCUGCGAAAGUAUUUGGAUCAAAUUCUUUGGGAGUAUUUUUGAUAAUCAUGAGCAGCAGGAGGUAUUCGUUUAGCUUUUAUAGUAUUUGGGUCCAUGCUAAAAACAUCCCACCAUCGAAUCGAUAUUCUCUUUCCCAAUCGAGGUAUAUAUUCAAAAUUAUUAUGAGUAUUUUCAUUUAUUCUAUAUUCCCAUUGUACUAUCCAGGGUAUUUAAUAUAUAGCCAUAAAAUAAAGAUGAUAGUCUAUAUCAUCAUUAACUCCAUUAUAUUUAGCAAAUGUUUUUUGAGCACUUUUAAAGGAGUCAAGCAAUAUCUGAGUUCUUGAUCCCGAGAUUAGAAACCAGUAACGGAACCAACUCGGGAAUCUCUUAAAAACAGGCAUUUUAAUAUGAACAAACCAUGUUUGAGAAUUAUUUAGAUUUUGAUAUGCAAACACUUUAUGCCAUGCAUCUAUAUAUUCAGUAUAUCGAUAUGAUUUAUAUUGAAAUUCUGCGGCUUGAAGUUUCCGGCCCUGGGAUGGGCUGUAUCCCUAAUCAUCUUAUGACAAUAAUUUCCUCAUUUGUAUUUUCGAAUAUCCAAUUAUUUUUGUAUUGGGAUUGAAGAAAUACACAAUUGAAAUAGACCCUGUUUCUAAAAGGACAGCUUCGUACCAUUCUCUGGUCUUGUUGCCGUUUGAAGGAUUGAGGUGGUUUUGUAAAUAUAGAGGGGCUAAUUUAUUUGGGUCAAUAUGUUUCAUCAAUGAUAACAUAUAUUAAGAAAGUAGUUUCUUCAUAUACGGAUUUAUUUGGGUUAACGGAUUUAUGAAUAUAUUGGCUGAUUAUUGUUCUUUUAUCUCCAGUAUUAGGUAUUUUAUCUAUAAUUUCUAGAAUUAAAUUGUCUUCUUUGAUAAGAGUAUGACAUGCACAUUUGUUAUCGUUUUCUGAAGAUGUCUCAUUUAAUAAAUCUUCAUCUUUUAUUAUUCUUAUAUCUGAUUCUUCAUCAUAACUUUUCGAAUAUGAGGAAGAUGUUGUACUACUAUUAUUAUCAUUAUCAUAUAGUUGAAUAAUUUCAUAUAAUUGAUUUCUUAUAUUUUCAUCCACUAUUAAUGAUUCUAUCUUUUUUUCUACCUGACAAUUAUUUUUAUAAUGUCCUAAUUUUCCACAUUUAUAGCAUCUAGGUAUUUUUCUUCUAGGCUUUUUAGAACUUCCUUUAGAAGGUUGUUCAUACUUUUUGUAUUUAUUUUUCUUAUACGAUUUUUUGUAUGAUUUUUGUCGCUUUUCUUGUUUUAUUCUUUUAUGGGGUUUAUUUUGGAAAAUAUUUAGAUUGUAUUCAAAUUGUUCAUAAAAAUCACCAAGUUCUUUAUGACCAGUCAUCUUUUGUUUAUCAAGUAGUUUUUUGAGUUUUAGAUCAGUACAAAGAGCUAGCCCUUCAGCACAUAUCUCGCCCGAUAAUUCUCCUAGAGUAUAUGGUCUUAUCUCUCGGACUACCGUAUAAAUGACUAAUGUUAUCUCAAUCUUAUCUCAUAAACAUUAUUAUUGGCUAAAAGUAGUUUAACAGUAAAUAAUUUAAGAAUUUCUAAUGGCUCUGAUACCAAACAGACUCCAAAAUCUUAUUUCGUCUCAAAUUCUUAAAUUCUAAAGUUAUCUCAGUAACAUAGAGAAGAUAGUGCUAUAAUUUAAUAAUGAUCUAAGAAGAGAAGUGUAGUAUAAAAAGAUAAAUAGGUGUUAAAAAUGCAUGACUUGUAGUUUCUGCAAAGAAAAUGGUUCUUUGUCAAACUAAAAUUAGAUUCUUAGGCCAUAAUAUCUUCCAAGGCACAAUUAUUCCCAUAGAUAGAGCUAUUGAAUUUUCUACUAAAUUCCCUGAUAUUAUCUUAAAUAAAGUUGAAUUAUAACGAUUCCUAGGAUGCUUAAACUAUAUUUCUGAUUUCAUUAAAGGAAGUUCUAAAAAGCCUAGAAAAAAAAUACCUAGAUGCUAUAAAUGUGGAAAAUUAGGACAUUAUAAAAAUAAUUGUCAGGUAAAGAGAAAGAUAGAAUCAUUAAUAUUAGAUGAAAAUAUAAGAAAUCAAUUAUAUGAAAUUAUUCAACUAUAUGAUAAUGAUAAUAAUAGUAGUACAACAUCUUCCUCAUAUUCGAAAAGUUCUGAUGAAAAAUUAGAUAUAGGAAUAAUAAAAGAUGAAGAUUUAUUAAACGAGACAUCUUCAGAAAACGACAACAAAUGUGCAUGUCAUACUCUUACCAAAGAAAACAAUUUAAUUCUAGAAAUUAUAGAUAAAAUACCUAAUACUGAAGAUAAAAGAACAAUAAUCAGCCAAUAUAUUCAAAUAACAAAAACUAGAAAUAAACCAACUCCCUUAAUAAAACCACUUGAAGAAUAUAGCUUCUCUGAAAUACUUAAACGAAUUGGUAAAAAAGGUAACAGUCAUAAAGAACCUACUAUUGCUGAACUAAAACACGAAGUUAAUGAGGUAAAAUCUGAACUUAAUAAUUUGAAGAAUAGGGUUAAAUUAUUAGAAUUAACUAAUAAAUUAACCGAUAAUCCACCUGAAGAUGAAGAAAUAGAAUUUGAUGAACUAAUCACUAAUACUAGAAUAUUAGAUAAACCUGAAUCUUCAGAAAAUAAACAAGAACCUCAGUUAAAUUUAAUAAAUAAAAUCUUAAAUAAAAAAUGGUAUACCUUAAUUAAAAUAAUAGUUCAGAAUGAAUACCAUUUCCAAUCUAUGGCCUUGAUAGAUUCAGGUGCCGAUUUGAACUGCAUAAACGAGGGAUUAGUCGCUACCAAAUAUUUUAAUAAAACUACGCAAAUCCUAAAUACAGCCGAUGGAAGCAAAUUAAACAUAAAUUAUAAAUUAUCAAAUGCUGCCAUAUGCAAUAAUGGCAUCUGUCUAGAAUUACCAUUUAUCAUGGUCAACGAUUGAAGGAAUAAAAGUAAAAUUCGAAUUUAUUGAUAAACCAAAAAUAAAAGAAAUAAAUAAUAUAAAACAAAAUAUACAAAAUAAAGAGAAAUUUUUAUAUCAGCUCAAAACUGAAAUAAAACAUAAAGCAGUUGGAGAACAACUAUUACUUCUUGAAACGAAAUCAAAAAUUGAAAACCGAAGACAACAAUUUGAAAAAGAAAAUAUGUAGUGAUUUACCUAAUGCUUUUUGGAAUCGACGAAAACAUAUAGUAUCUCUUCCAUAUGAAGAAGGAUUUUUUGAAACUAAAAUUCCAAGAAAAGCCCACCCAAUUCAGAUGAAUUCAAAAAUGUUAGAAAUUUGUCAUAAAGAAAUAACUUCUCUCUUAGAAAAGGGAUUAAUUAGGCCAAGCUCAUCUCCUUGGAGUUGUGCCGUCUUUUAUGUAGAAAAUAAUGCCGAAAAAGAACGAGGAGUUCCAAGAUUAGUUAUUAAUUACAAACCACUAAAUAAAGUUUUAAAAUGGAUCAGAUAUCCAAUUCCUAAUAAAAAAGAUUUGUUAGAUAGACUUGUAAAUGCUUGUAUUUUUUCGAAAUUUGACCUUAAAUCCGGAUACUGGCAAAUACAAAUAAACGAAAAAGAUCGCUAUAAAACAGCAUUUAAUGUUUCAUUUGGUCAAUAUGAAUGGAAUGUAAUGCCAUUCGGCCUAAAAAAUGCACCAUCUGAAUUUCAGAAAAUUAUGAAUGAUGUUUUUAACCCUUAUAUGACAUCUAUGAUAAUUUACAUUGAUGAUGUUCUUAUAUUUUAAACUGAUAUACAUCAACAUUUCAAACAUUUACAUAUAUUUCUCAAUACUGGUAAAAAUGCAGGACUUGUAGUUUCUGCAAAGAAAAUGGUUCUUUGUCAAACUAAAAUUAGAUUCUUAGGCCAUAAUACUCUAAGGGUAAAACAUAAAGAAGAAAUAGUUAUUGAAAAUGUUGAACAACAUACUCAAAACUGGAACAUACCAAAGGUCCCAAUAACAAACGUAUAUAAAAAAGAAAAUUUUAAUCUAAAAAUUGUAUAUGCCAUCAAAACUGUUGAACAAAGUCCACCUGUUCAAAAUGAACAAGAAAAUCUUCAGCUCUUAACAAAUAAAAUUGUACAAUCUCAUAAAAAUAAAGAAAAUCAAUACCAUACAUAUAUUACAGACCAACAAAAACAUAUUCGAAGUAUUCAUCCUCCUGAAGAAAGUAUAAACAUCCUAGGAAAAGAUAAGCAAGAAAAAUUAGAAACUAUAGCUACUCCAAGCAAAACACUUCCUGGAGAACACUAUCAUAAAAUAGAACUAUUACCUCAUAUAUUAGAACAAAAUAAUUAUACAAAUUUAUAUUUACAAACCAUAGGAAAACAGACAACCACAAGAAAAAAUUGAAGAAAAGAAAAAGGCAAUAUUAUUUAAACCUCAUCCUCUAAUUAAUAAAGAAAGAUUUCAGAUGAAAGAAGAACCUUCUUUUGAAUUAAUGCAACAAUUAAUUACCAAAUUAGCAAGCCUAGAUAUCAAAGAAAAGGAUAAAAGUCAAGAAUCAGUAAUAAGGAUAACAGAACCAGCAGCUAUGAUGUUACAUUAAAAAUGAAUUGAAUCAAGACAUCGUUCAAGCCGAAAGCGAUAAUGUCAAUACCCUCAUAUAUACAAUAACCCUUCACUUUGUUGGAAGUACUGCCCUACUAGAAGCAAGAUCUGAAGACCUCCUUUCUAAUCUUAAAUGUCCAACCCGUUCUCACUAUAAAUGGUAUAAAGAUGUUUUUUUUUCACGACUUCUUAUUCGUGAAGAUAGUAGUUCCAAUCACUGGAAAGAAAAGUUUAUUUCCGGCCUUCCCUAUCUCUUUACUGAAAAAGUCCGCAACCGCCUUAAAACUAAAAAUGGGGGGAUUAUUCCUUAUCAACUCUAUACUCUAGGAAAAUUAUCGGCCGAAAAAUGUGCUAAACGGCUAGCUCUUUGUACUGAUCUAAAACUCAAAAAACAACUUGAUAAACAAAAGAUGACUGGUCAUAAAGAACUUGGUGAUUUUUGUGAACAAUUUGGAUACAAUGUAAAUAUUUCCCAAAAUAAACCCCAUAAAAGAAUAAAACAAGAAAAACGACAAAAAUCAUAUAAGAAAAUAAAUACAAAAAAUAUGAACAACCUUUUAAAGGAAGUUCUAAAAAGCCUAGAAGAAAAAUACCUAGAUGCUAUAAAUGUGGAAAAUUAGGACAUUAUAAAACAAUUGUCAGGUAAAGAAAAAGAUAGAAUCAUUAAUAUUAGAUGAAAAUAUAAGAAAUCAAUUAUAUGAAAUUAUUCAACUAUAUGAUAAUGAUAAUAAUAGUAGUACAACAUCUUCCUCAUAUUCGAAAAGUUCUAAUGAAGAAUCAAAUAUAGGAAUAAUAAAAGAUGAAGAUUUAUUAAAUGAGACAUCUUCAGAAAACGACAACAAAUGUGUAUGUCAUACUCUUACCAAAGAAGACAAUUUAAUUCUAGAAGUUAUAGAUAAAUACCUAAUACUGAAGAUAAAAGAACAAUAAUCAGCCAAUAUAUUCAAAUAACAAAAACUAGAAAUAAACCAACUCCUUUAAUAAAACUACCAGAAGAAUAUAGCUUCUCUGAAAUACUUAAACGAAUUGAUAAAAAAGGUAACAGUCAUAAAGAACCUACUAUUGCUGAACUAAAACACGAAGUUAAUGAGGUAAAAUCUGAACUUAAUAAUUUGAAGAAUAGGGUUAAAUUAUUAGAAUUAACUAAUAAAUUAACCGAUAAUCCAUCUGAAGAUGAAGAAAUAGAAUUUGAUGAACUAAUCACUAAUACUAGAAUAUUAGAUAAACCUGAAUCUUCAGAAAAUAAACAAGAACCUCAGUUAAAUUUAAUAAAUAAAAUCUUAAAUAAAAAAUGGUAUACCUUAAUUAAAAUAAUAGUUCAGAAUGAAUACCAUUUCCAAUCUAUGGCCUUGAUAGAUUCAGGUGCCGAUUUGAACUGCAUAAACGAGGGAUUAGUCGCUACCAAAUAUUUUAAUAAAACUACGCAAAUCCUAAAUACAGCCGAUGGAAGCAAAUUAAAAAUAAAUUAUAAAUUAUCAAAUGCUGCCAUAUGCAAUAAUGACAUCUGUAUAAAAUUACCAUUUAUCAUGGUAAAAGGACUUAACCAAGCUGUUAUUCUAGGUACUCCUUUUAUCAGUAUGUUAUACCCUAUUGUUAUAGACCAUACUGGAUUAGAAUCAACGAUUGAAGGAAUAAAAGUAAAAUUCGAAUUUAUUGAUAAAUCAAAAAUAAAAGAAAUAAAUAAUAUAAAACAAAAUAUAUAAAAUAAAGAGAAAUUUUUAUAUCAGCUCAAAACUGAAAAUAUAAAGCAGUUGAAGAACAACUAUUACUUGUUCAAAUGAAAUCAAAAAUUGAAAACCUAAGACAACAAUUUGAAAAAGAAAUAUGUAGUGAUUUAUCUAAUGCUUUUUGGAAUCGACAAAAACAUAUAGUAUCUCUUCCAUAUGAAGAAGGAUUUUCUGAAACUAAAAUUCCAACAAAAGCCCGCCCAAUUCAAAUGAAUUAAAAAAUGUUAGAAAUUUGUCAUAAAGAAAUAACUUAUCUCUUAGAAAAGGGAUUAAUAAGGCCAAGCUCAUCUCCUUGGAGUUGUGCCGCCUUUUAUGUAAAAAAUAAUACUGAAUAUAUAGAUGCAUGGCAUAAAGUGUUUGCAUAUCAAAACCCAAAUAAUUCUCAAACAUGGUUUGUCCAUAUUAAAAUGCCUGUUUUUUAGAGAUUCCUGAGUUGGUUUCGUUAUUGGUUUCUAAUCUGGGGAUCAAGAACUCAGAUAUUGCCUGACUCCUUUAAAAGUGCUCAAACAACAUUUGCUGAAUAUAAUGGAGUUAAUGAUGAUAUAAACUAUCAUCUUUAUUUUAUGGCUAUAUAUCAGAAACCCUGGAUAGUAAAAUGGGAAUAUGAAAUAAAUGAAAAUACUCAUAAUAAUUUGAAUAUAUACCCCGUUUGGGAAAGUGAAUAUCGAUUCGAUGGUGGGAUAUUUUUAGCAUGGACCAAAAUACUAUAAAACCUAAACGAAUACCUCUUGCUGCUCAUGAUUAUCAAAAUACUCCCAAAAAAUUUGACCCAAAUACUUUCGCCGAAUAUAUAAGACAAAUGUGAAGACAAAACCCUAGAGCAACUAAAGAUGAAUUGGAGAGUCAGUUAUUAAAGAUCAUACAAGAAGAAACCUCAGAAGCCACAUCUCCUUCAUCGGAGCCCAACAAUGACUUCAGCCAAAGACCCGAAGAAGCCCUGCUCAGCCCAGCAAUCUGUAAAGAAUAUCAGCUAUCGUUUUAGACACCUGUCACAUCCUCCUUUCCAGUGAAGCCACCUGUAUAUACAUCCAAAAGAGGUCAACAGAUGGCAUCAGCCGUACGACAGAAGCGACUGAAGUCACUAAUCAAGAUGCCUUCCGUACGAUAUGGCAGACACAAGUUAUUGUUUUUAGUCAUGUCAUGUACAAAAGUUACUUUUGCUUUUUCUUUUAGUCAUGUCAUGUACAAAAGUUAAUUUUUCUCGUGUCAUGUCUCCUUCACCCCUUAUCUUUAAGUCAUAUAUGACUUUAAAGAUUCCUUUCUUCCAUCUACCAUGCCCGCUCACUUUGCCAGCUCACCACUGCUAGAUUCCUUUAUUCUCUUUAUGUCCUCUUCACUCUUUAUGUCUAAUCAAAACAGCUCCAACUCGACACCUUUGCCUGCUCACUCCUGCCUAUAAAACCCUCUCUUCUCAUUUACUUGAGGCAUCGGGAACUUUCACCUAUUCCCCCUCUUUUAAAGCUCCGCCUGCUCUCUCUUGUUUCAUAAGCUCUGCCUGUUUUCUCUCUCUCUAUUCAGAAAGGCUUCAUUACUCUCUACCUGAUCACAUUCCGCUUGACUUCUGCGAAACCUUCAGGCAAGCCUUUCUCAAGUAAGAUCUUUUCAUUACCUUUUAUUUUAUUUUACAGCAAUGUGUGACUGUAAUAUACAUAAGUUACCAUCGUUCUGUCCUGACGAAUGGCAACACUUUUCAAGUUUUUGCCUUUGUAAAUUGUAAGUUGUAUACCGUCUGUAUUCAGUUUCAAUCUGUCUGUACUUUGUAUCAAUAUGUACUUUGUUUGAAUCUGUAUCAAUAAAGAUUGUUCAUAUUAUGCAGUUUAAAAUAACAGUUAGCGUUAAGAUACUAAAUAAUAAUUAUACCACGUGGAUAAUAUUAGAUAUCUCUGUUAUUUCAUUCAUUAUUAUUCUAUUUAUCUUUUUAUACUACACUUCUCUUCUUAGAUCAUUAUUAAAUUAUAGCACUAUGUUCUCUAUGUUACUGAGAUAACUUUAGAAUUUAAGAAUUUGAGACGAAAUAAGAUCUUGGAGUCUAUUUGGUAUUAGAGCCAUUAGAAAUUCUUAAAUUAUUUACUGUUAGACUACUUUUAGCCAAUAAUAGUGUUUAUGAGAUAAGAUUGAGAUAAUAUAUAUAUAUAUAUAUAUAUAUGAGAUGAAAGAAGAAAGAAUGCGUGUGGGGCAAGACCUCCCUUUAGAGAGGAAAGACCUUCCGAUAGAUAUGCAUCCUUCCUAUGGAGAAAAUCUCUUAGAGAAAAGACAACUUCUGAUGGAGAGGCCUCUUUCCCAUGGAGAAAACACUACUAUGGAGCGUCUUUUAGGCAAGGCCUCCCUUGUGCCUCAUUUUAUUGUAGUGAAGCAAUUUUCAUGCAGAUUUUGGGUCUUUUAGUGAGAGAAAGUCUCGGUUGUAGAGAUUGGGAUGCUGGUUAUUUCUAGAAAAGCAAUUCCCAUGCAAAUUUUUAGUCUUUUAGUGAGAGAAAGUAGCGGUAGAGAGCUCGGUUGCUCUCAAGGUUGUAGAGGUUGAGAUGCUGGUUUUUUUUAUAGAGAAAUGGUUCCCAUGUAGAUUUUGGGUCUCUUAGUGAGAAAAAAUCUCAGUUGCUCUCAAGGAUGACAAUAGAAUAUAGAUGGGUCUUCUCUUGAACAAAUUUUGGGUGGUUUCCCUUUUUAGUGAGAGAAAGUUCUUUUUUAAUGAGAGAAAUUCUUGAUUACUCGACUCUCAAGGUUGACAGUAAUUUAGUUUUGGAAUAGAGAUAUGUCUCUUCCUGGAUAGUGGUUGUGCUAUGGAAUAGGGACAGUCUCUUCCUGAACAUUCCUAGACAGUGGUUUAGCAGUGGAAUGAUUUUAGGUUCCUGAACUUUCCUGGAUAAUUGUUUAGCUGUGGAAUGAUUUUGGGUUGCCACCCCUUUUAUUGAGAAAAAGUCUCCCCUUUUAGUGAGAGAAAGUCUCGGUUACUCGGUUCUUAAAGUUGACAGUGGUUUAGCAAUGGAAUAGAGACUGGUCUAGAGAUAGUAUCUUCCUGGACAGUGGUUUAGCUGUAGAAUAAAAGCGGUCUCUUCUUGGACAACGAUUUAGCUAUGAAAUAGAGAUAGGUCUCUUCUUGAAUAGUGGAUUAAUUAUGGAAUAGAGAUGGGUCUCUUCUUGGACAGUGGUUUAGCUGUGGAAUAGAGAUUGUCGGGGAUACCGGUUGAGAGAGCAAGUCUAAAAGGGUUUUGCUCAAUUGGAUUUUGUCGAGGGUUAAAGAUGUAACUAUAUGUCCCAAAAUAUUUGAUAUAAUUUUCAUUUGGCAUUGAUAUAGUGGAUUUCAAUUUGCGAUGCCUGUGGAUAUUUUCUUUCAGGGUGAACCACGUAAAUCUAUCUUUGAUGUAACUUUCAUUAGCAUUGGUAUAAUGGAUUUCAGUUUGUAGUGCCUGUGGAUGUAGCCCUUCUAGCUGAACCACAUAAAUCUUUAUGUUCUUGUGGCAUGUGUGUUUGAUGCUUUAUUUCUGGUAUGCAUUAUUUCUCAUAUUAUAACUCAUACUCUCGCUUAUUUUAUUUCUAGCUAGAGUAGUCUCACCUAUUUUAGUUCUAAUUGGUAUGCUUUAUUUCUUGUAUCAUGAUUCGUACUCUCACCUAUUUUAUUUUUUAGCUGGACUACACUUGCCUAUUUUAUUUCUAACAGGAUUUUCUAGCAGGAGUACUCUAGCCUAUUUAAUUUCUAGAUAGAAAGUAAACGAUCUUGAUGGAUCUAACUUUUUAGGAUUCGUCUUUCCACAUCUAAAAGGGUUAUUAAAUCCUAACAUAUAAGGGGCGAAUUGAAGUGGCCAGACAACUUGAAUGAAGUGGUUAGACAACUUAAAUCUAAAGUUGAGGUAAUUUGGAAGAUCCAACUUUUGAGUUUUCUCUUUCUGCAUCUAAGAAGGUUAUUAAAUCCUAAGUUAUAUGGGGCAAAUUGGAGUGGUCAGACAACUUAAAUAUGAAGUUGGGGUAAUUUGGAAAAAAAAAAACAAUUAAAAUAGGUAUGCGGGUAAUAUUUCUAACUAGUAGAAGGUUUUAGUAAUGAGGAGUAAUCAAAAGGGGUAUGGACAUAAUUUUCUCUUAAAAAAAGCAUAAUUGGAAUCAAAAGGGGUACGGACAUCAUUUUCUCUUAAAAGAAAGUAUAAUUGUGAUGAUAUGUGAAGAAUUAAGAUAAAUAGUCAAAAUAUAUUUGAAAUAAACUGUUUUAAACUUUAAAAAAAUCUAUUUUUAUCUUUCAUUGAUCGCGCGUAUUGAUAUGAUCUAUCUCUAACAACAUGGAUUAUGGAUGAGAUUGUGAGGUGCUCCAGCACUAGAACCCCAUCUGCAUAAAUAAGCUCAGUAAGCUCCUACCUCCAAGGUUUGGGACGGGGAAAGAUUGAAGGAAAAGUGCACAAUUGCCCUUCAACGGUUGACAUUUAAUCUGGGAAGAUUUAAGGGCUACAAAUUGAUUUUAUUUUUUUGUGUUUAUAUUUGCAAAUUAUCUUAUAGCAAAAUUGAGUAUCACGUUCAGUUUUAUAGGACGUAUCUAAUUGAAAAAUAAGAAAAAAGAAAAAGGAAAUUAAACAAAAGAAUGACUGAAAUAUCCCUAACUGUUGAGGGGUAUUGUAGUUAAUUUUCAUUGAGAUUAUAUUUUUUAAUUUUGGGCACGUGUACUACGAUCCUGCAGGACUAUACUGUGCUUUAUUCCCUCACCCAAACACCUAUUUAGGAAGAUUUUCAAAGUCUAAAAUUUUGUGAACUGCAUAAUAAUUACUAGAUGAUUAUUUUCAAAAGAAAAAAAUUGAAUUUUGAGUUUUGUGACUCUUAGAUCUAACCCUUCAAAGGAUGGUAUUAAUUCAAUCUUGAGGCACUAGUUGUUUUUAGCACCUAGGGAGUUUAUAUGGAUUUUUUUUAUAAUUAAGAUUAGUUUAUGAGUUGUGGAGAUCACAUCCCCAAAAUUUGAGAUCUAAAAAAUAUUCAUAGCAUGUGUUUUCUCCAAGGGACUGAAUGGAUAGUAUACUCCUAAGCGAGAAUGGAUGUCAUUUGGGUUUAAUUUUUAAAGAGGUGCAUGAUUUUUAAAUGUAUGAGGAUGCCGCAAUUGUCUGAGUGAAAAAUAUUUGCAAUUGAAUAAAGUACAAAGGGAAAGUAUCUCCAUACUUUCUACUUUUAGGUUUUAUUUCACAAUAGAUCUAAGGUUUUAAAAGAUAUAUUGAGGUAUAAAAAUUAUAGAUUUUAUUUCUUCUAAUCCACUGAACUAAUUCAAACAUGUUUUUUUAGGCCAAACAAAUCUAAAAGGGAAAAGUUUAUAUAGAGCCGAGGCUCUAAACAAUCAAAUUUGAGCCUACCUAAAAAUUACCCUGGAAGACAUUGUUUUCAUGCUCAAAUAUCCUCAAAUUCAUUGUCUCGACAUCAAGAUGCAUGGGUAUGAGAAAAAAUUGGAUUUCAAGUUUUAAAAAUUAUGUAUUUUGUAAUACAGUUUUGGACCGUCAAUUUUUAAGAUUUUCAAGUUUUCAUAGACCUAUUGAUCUACACUAUUUUUGAAGCUUUAAACUUUAUAAAUAAACAUGAAAAUAUAUUUGAUGGCUAUCACAAAUAUUUUCAAUAUUGAAACUAUAUUUCUCGACACUAUUAAAAGGUAGCCUCUAAUUUGAUUGUUUAGAGUUUAAGCUAUGUACAAACCACACCCAAUUUAAAAAGACAUGUCUUUCCUAUAAGAAACGUACAAAGCAAACUUCCUAGCAUCCUAAGUUUUUUGAAAAGGGACAAAGCGAAUUUUGCGUUCUCUUUUCUAAAAGAAAUGAAACCUAAAAUUAAAUUAUAUGAAGAUAUUUUCUUUAAAAAAUUCAAUUUCUAAACUUAUAAUAAGCCAAAUUCUAUGUGAGCCAUUAAAAAGGAUUCAAGCGUCCACUUCACGUGGUCAAUUUAUAUGGUGCACAAUCCAGACACCGUGUCAUCAAUUAACCGGCACCGGCUGUGAUAUUUGCACAUCGUACACAUAUUUGUCCACGCUCACGUUAGUGUAUCAUUCAUUCGGAUCGGAGAAUCAGCCGUUUCGGCCUUCCAAAAAAUUUAUGUAGUUAUUAAAAAUAUCUAAAAAUAUUAUUUUUUGAAGGUGAAAUCUUUUUUGAGAAGUUACAUUGUGUACUUUAACUAUUUGUAAAAAUAUAUGAAUAUUGAGACAUUGUUUCUCUAUUUGAAUAUAUGGAUAAUUAUUAAUCAUAAUAUAAUAUUAUAAUAUUGCAUCAAAUGAUUCAAAAAAUUAAAAAACACUUCUAUAUUAUAAAAUUAAAAAUAAUAAUAUCUCUAAUAAAAUGAUACUAGUAUCACUUCAAAAUAUUUAUUGAUUAUCUUUACUCAUCUAAAAUUAUCACAACAUAACUAACUAUAAUAUUAUACACUGAAAAUAGAAGUAUUGAUUUACAUUUUAUAAUUAUUUUAUAAUUCAAAUGAUAAUAAUUUUAAAAUUUGUUUUACAAUGUCAUUUCAUUUAAAAAAUCUUAUUUACAACUAUAAAAAAAAAAAUACAUUGUAUUAUUUUUAAUGCAAAUAAAUUAAAUAAAAUAUAAGAUUUGGUUAUCAAUCAUAAUUAUUAAUUAUAAUAUUAUAAUAAACAUGAUUCAAAAAAUAUUAUAAAACAUUUUCAUAAAAGACUCAACCUUUUUUCGCAAGAAAUGGACGUUUCAAGGAGGGUAUUCAGCCUAUAAUCAAUGUAGCUAAUCCAUUGCUUCAAGUAUUUUUUGUUUGAAUGAGCCUUUUUCUUUUUUUUAUAAAUUCAUUGAAGAGUUUGUGAAUUCCUUUCAUAGCUCCAAUCCGGGAAAAGCACUUGAGAGAAAGGGACAAAAUGAAAUUCCCGGCAUCGUAAAUUCUUAGAAGCUAACAUUAUUAUAAAGGAAAAAGUUUAUAUAGAGCAGAGGCUCUAAACAAUCCAAUUAAAUCUCAUUUCAAAAAUUUCACUAGAAGAAGUUGUUUUGAUGCCUAAAUAUCCUCAAAUUGAUCAUCUCGACAUCAAGAUUCAUAGACAUGAGAAAAAAAUGGAUUUCAAAAUUUGGAAUUAUUGCACAUCAAAUUUUCCAGAUUUUCAAGUUUUCAUAGAUCUGCUCGAUCUAUACUAUUUUUGAAGCUUUAAAUUUUAUAAUUAAAAAUAAAAAUAUAUUUUAAAGCUAUCACAAAGAAUUCCAUUAUUGAAAUCAUAUUUCUCUAUACGAUUUAAAAGUGCACUUUAGUUGGAUUGUUUAUAGCCUCAGCCUCUAUAAAAACCUCACCCUAUUAUAUUUAUAAUAGAACGUAACUACAGCUAGUCUAAGAGCCUCCCAUGCAUGAGGAGUGUAUUGUCUUGGUUCUUUAUGGGUGGUACCCGCAAUGGUGGGCCCAAGGGGUAUUUUAUAAAGUAUCUACUAGGCGUCAAUUUUUUAAGAAAUAAAACUUGAAGACCAUGGAACCCCAUUUCACUACGAUAGGAUGGUUACGGAUUAGACGAUUCUGAUUUGAAUCGGUGAUAUUUUAAAUUUUGGUUUGGAACUCCUUUUUUUUUUUUAUGUAAGUCGAUGUAUAUAAGUCAAUGGGGGAGAAGCCCCCCUACCCAUUUUUUAUUAAUAUGUAAAAAUAAUGAUGAUUACACCUUAUUCCAUAACAACCAUGGAAUAGGGCACCUAUGACAAAUCAUGAAGUAAAGCAAGAGAAAUAAAGUCAGGUGGACGUGAACGCCAAAUGGUAGCUUGUAAAAGAGAUGUGGCAUUCUUUGCAAGAAUAUCGGCCACCAUGUUGACUUCAUAAAAAAUACGAAAAAUGGACCACCUACGAUUUGAAAGAUGUUGCCUACAAUUUACUGCAAUCGUAUAUAACUUCAAAAGAGACCAACAAUGUUCAUGAAUAACAUUAAUGAGUAAAGCUGAGUCACUUUGAAUUUGAAGAGGAAAAUUACUUUAGCUGAAUGGCUAGAACCAAAUCUUCUUCAAGAGCGGAGAAUUCCGCAUAAUUAUUGGAAGCAAUUCCAAAAGGUUUUGAGAACGUCGCAAUAAAAGCAUCAUCACGAUCUCUAAUAACACCACCCACACCUGUUGAACCUACGUUAUGCAAGGAGACCCCAUCAAUGUUUAACUUGAAAUGAUUAGGGCUAGGAAAUGACCAAUCCGCCAAGACAACCAACUAAUCCCUCUGUUGAUUCCAAUUGACUUGUAGAUUAUCAAUAAUUGCUUUUUCUAAGACAUGAAAUGCCCAGGUUUAGCAUCAGCUACCUCUCGAACAUGAGAAAUGAUCUGUCAAAGCAAUUAUUCCCUCCUGAUUAAUCUUGAUUGGAAAACUCUUUUAUUGUGCUCCGCCCAUAAAACCCAAACAGUUGUGAAGAAUAGAGUCAAACAUUGAAAAAACCAUUGGAUUUGAAUAUGAAAGAUAACCAACUUCUCAACAUAUUGAGAAUAGAAGAUCCAGAAAUAAAGCAUUGACCGCAAUGCUAUACUAGAGAUCUCCAUAUUGCCUGCGAGAAAUCUCAAAGGAAUAGUGAAUCAAUGGUUUUGAUUGGUGAAUCGGACCUAUUCUCUGGUGUGAGCAUAAGUCCAUAAAAACAAAAAGAAAAAUAGAAAAUAAUAAUAAAAAUAUAAUGUGUGGAAUCGGGCAAUCUGGUUGGUCUAGAUCGAGUUCCUGAUGGACACACCUGGUUCUCUAAUGGAACCUAGCGAGUCCAUAAGAACUGGAUUGACUAUCGACAAUGACAAGGAACUAGUUUUAGCGGUGGGAAUUGGUCGAGUUGGGUCCCCAGACCUAGUUCAGGUCUGGGUAAGGUCCAAGUCAAUUGGACCCAAAACCAAUCCACAUGGUCAUUAGGAAAACGAAAAAAGAUAAAUAUUAUUUAGUCAAUAAAAAAAAAAGAAGGAAUAGAGUUAAACAUCCUUUUUUUAUAUAGAAAUAGGACCUACACCCUUAUCUCCAAAAUUAUCAUCCAAAAUACGCCCCUAGCCAAUAAAAACCCAUAAAACCACUUUAAAUUAAAUGAAUAAGAUAUUUAACACCCUCCUUAUCUAUUUUAUUGUCCACAUUACUGUAUGUCUUUUUAAUUGGCCUCAUCAUAUAAAUGGAGUUUGUGAUGCAUCUUUUAACAUACUUGUGAGGUUCACGAGAUGAGAGAAAGAGACAUGUUUUUCAUAGAAAGUUGUUAAAGAGAUAGGGAGGUAGAGGUUCACAAGUGAGGAAGUGAGAGCAUUUCCAAGGUUCACAUUAAUUGGUGAUUAAAAAAAAAUAGAAGUAAAUAUUGUAAUUUGGACAAUAGAAAAAGUAAGAAGAGGCUUAAACAUCUUGUUUUUGAUAUCAUGAGUAGCUCAUGAUAAAUCAUAAAUAUGGAUAUCAUGAGUAGGUCAUGAUAAAUCAUAAGUAUGGAUAUCAUGAGUAGGUCAUGAUAAAUCAUAAGUAUGGAUUUAUUGCAAAAUAAUUGUAUUUGUAGAUGUUUUUAGCAGCCAAAAGCCUAAGCAAAGAUAGUGCCCUAAAGCCAAAUUAUAAGGACCCUAAAUUCAUACUCUCUUUCCCUUUGUGGUAUUUUAACAAAGGGUGUGAUUUGCAUCAGGUUGCAAACUUAAACAAUCAAAUUAAGGCGCACCAACAAGUUUUAUCCUAAGAUAUAAUUUUAGUUUAAAAAAUUCUUAGAAUGGCAUGAGAAUCAAUUUUCAUCUCUAAUUAUAAUAUUUUAAACUCUAAAAAUGUUUCAAAUCAAGUAGAUCUAUAAACACAUAGAAAUCUUCAAAAAAUAGAUGGCCCAAAUAAUAUGUUGCAAGAUGCACUAUUUUUUCAGGCUCAAAUUUUUUUCCUUUUUCUUUUUGUCAUAUUCAAUACAUCUUGAUGUCAAGAUGAUAACUCAAAAUUUUUUCAAUAUCAUAAUAACUUUUUUCGAUAUAUUUUUUAGGAGCACCUUAAUUCUACAUUUUAAUGUUGCAACCCGAUAUAAAUUUUUACCUUUAACAAAUGGUUUAAAUAUAGAGAUUGUAUACAAUGAGACCAUUUACCUUUGGUAUAUGAAGGUCACACUUACUUACAACAAUCCAAUGUAAAAUCUGAUAAUUUGGGUGUGUCACAAAGUUUCGAAAAUUUUUUUGUUGAACUUUGAACUUGGUCAAUGAAAUAAAUGCAGCCACCCAAUUUCACAUCCAAUGGUUCAGAAUAACUGUGAUUACUUUGUACCAAAGGUAAAUAGUCUCAUUAUAUGCUUUUUAAUAGUCUCAUUAUAUACUUUCCCUUAAAACUAACAUGGACUUUAUUCCCUCACAUCCAUAUGCGUCUCUAGCCAAAUGCCCAUGGUGGUAAAAGCGAGAGAGAGAAAGAGAGAUAUUUUUUGAGCUUGAAAACAAUCUAAACUUUAUCAUUUUCCUUUUUCUUUCUGCUCUUUGAUCUUUGUAUCAAUUAUCAAGCUAGCCGAAAGAUUAUGCGCUCAUGUUUAUGAUGUCAUCUAGGAGUAUGUUUAAGACCUUAAAAUUUAUGGAAAAAUUAUAUUCUACUUACAAAAAAAAUCUCAUUUUACUUGGGGAAAAUCAUGGAUUCCUGAAAUGUAUUUUAUAGAGAUUCAACUCUCCAAUAUUUUUUGUAUCACACUCGUAACCCAAUUACUGUUUUUCUUUGCUUUAAACCCCCAAGUAAAAAAUUUGUAACUUUUAUAAUGAACCUACCCUUUUUAGUACACAUUUCCUCACGUUUCUGUCGACUCACAUGAACACGGCUCGAAGAAAAAAUGGGAGAGCAAGCAAAAAUUCAUAGUGGGAGUGAACUAAUAAUAAAUAAAUAAAAAUGUAAUUUUUGUAUAUAUUUCAUUUGUCAUUUAUUGUCAUUGUAUAUUUGUGAAGGGAUAGUUUGGAUUACACUAAAUAUAUAUUGUAUAUAAACUAUUUUAGGAUUUUAUUAUUGUCAAUGAGAAUUGGCCCCACGUUCCAUUUCUCUCUCUAUCACUCUCUUUCAUCUUUGCUUCUCGAAAUCUAUCAUGGUAUCAGAGCUCUAAAGAUCCGAUUAUUUCUUUGCCCGCUACUGUUCAUGCAAGUUAUUCAUUAAUUCUUUACCCCUAGUUGAACUUUACUUAGAGGCAUAAAAUUUUAUUUUGUGUCCAUGAUAGGAAAUUGACUUAUUCUCGAUAUUUUUCCAAUUUAUUUGUGAUCCAAGUAAUUUUAGAGGUUUCCUUAAAAAAAAAAAAAAUUGAGAGCAUUUACUUCAAAUAUCCUAUCCCCUCAUGGAAUCCAAGAAUAGUACAAAAACUGCUACUAUGUCUGUGCGUCUUGAUGGGAAGAACUACGGAUUGUAGUCAUUCUAGAUGCGACGCUUUCUUAUAGGAAGAAAGUUAUGGGGUUAUGUUGAUGGAUCUAUACGCCAACCUACAGCUGAGAAUGGGCCCAAUGAUUGGUUUGCUAUUGAUAUUUAUAUUAUUACAUGGAUCAUGAAUUCAAUUGAGAAUAAAAUUGGGUGCAACCUCCUAUAGCAACCUAAUGCCAAAGCCAUGUGCGAUUAUUGCGCAACCUCCUAUAUCAACCUAAUGCCAAAGCCAUGUGCGAUUAUUUGAAGAAGAUUUACUCUCAAUAAAAAAUGGCUCGCCUCUAUAUGCGUAAAAAUGAAAGCUUGAAAACACAACAAAGGGAUUCAUCUGUCCAUGACUAUUUCAAUUCCCUUUCAGGCAUAGUGAAUGAGAUGGACUUGAUGAAGACUGAAUCACAUGACAAGGCAGUUACUAAAUCUAGAAAUCAAGCUCGUUUAUUUCAUUUUCUAAUGGGGCUGCGAUCAAAUUUUGAAAAUAUGAGAGCACUCUCCUUGUUGAGGUCACUCGCUUAGGUUAUCAUUGGAUUUGCAAAUCUAAUUCACCAGAUAUUACUGAUGUGGCUUUAGCUAUAUCCAAUGGCUCUAACAAGGAUUUCAACUACGAUCAAGUACUAUGUAAUACAUGUAGACAAAAAGGACACAUAAUUGCACAUUGUAAGAAGCAAAUUUUUUGCAAUUAUUACAAAAAGAUUGGCCAUAUAAUUGCUUAUUGUUAAAAAAGGCCUCACGCUCGUGGAAAGGCUUCUACAAGUGGUUCUACUCAAUUAGCUGCAUUGGCCUUUAUUCCUAGUUCAACCAACAUGGACGAAGUUGUUUCUAUUGACUCCCACUCUACAUCUACACCCACAUCAUCUAUAGUUCCUGUACUCUUUUCAGAGUUUCCCUCUGUUAACUCAAAUACACUUCAACAGCUUACUCAUGCCUUACCUGCCUUGGGUUUUUCAGGUAAUUCAAAUGCUCUUUCAAAUACUUGGAUCAUAGACUCAAAUUCUCUUUCAAGUACUUGGAUCAUAAACGCAAGAAUAUCUAACCAUUUGACAGGACAAAUAUCUCAAUUAUCCUCUGUGACACCUCAUUUCGGUCAAUUGACUUAUUUUACUGCUAAUGAAGACUCUAGAAAUACCAUUAUUCCUGGUCCCUCUGGUGAUUCCUUAUCACUUAAGGAUGUCCGUCAUGUUCCUAACCUUCCUCUCAAUUUGUUAUCUACUUGUCAAUUAGUUGACAAUAAGUGUCUUGUCUCAUUUUCUAAUAAAGGUUGUGUGUUCCAGGAUCAAGCAACAAGGAAGGUGAUUGGGAAAGGCACUAAGAAGGGUCAUCUCUUGACAGUCAACUUCAGCAAGCGCCUUUUCACCUUUCACAGGCCCUAUAUGUUUGCCACAUUUCCCUUUCUUUUCAUGAAAUAUGCCAAUCAAUAUCUCUCUGAUAUGUUUGGCAUUGUAGGUUAAGUCAUCCACACUCUCAAAAAGUGUUAUCCGUUUUGUAUUAUGGGAUGUUAUUUUUCCAAUAAAAAGCUUAAUAAAGAUAUUUUGUGUGAGAGUUGCAAGUUAGCAAAACACUUGGCUCUCCCUUCCCCUCGUAGUAAUAAUAAAAAGUACCAGCCAUUGUUUUUUAGUGUACUCUGAUGUGUGGGGGCGUGCUCCUGUUCCUUCGAUUAGUGAUUUUUCUUAUUAUGUGAGAUUUAUUGAUGAUUCUUCAAAGUACACAAGGGUUUAUUUUCUCAAACACAAAUCAAGUGUGUUUAAUGUUUUUCAAUACUUCCAUAGCAUGAUUAGAAAUCAAUUUAAGAAAAAUAUUAAAGUCUUUAGGUCAGAUUCAAGGGAGGAAUACCUAUCCAAGGAAUUUCAGGCAUAUCUUAGUACAAAUGACAUUUUACAUCAACGUUCAUGCCCUAAUACCCCUGAACAAAAUGAAGGUGUCGAAAGUAAGCAUCAUCAUAUCUUUGAAAACAACUAGUUCUCUUCUUAUAAGCUUUCAUUCUCCUAAUAAUAUGUGGGCUGAAGCAAUCUCCACUGCUGCGUAUCGUGUUAAUCUUCUUCCUACUCCUGUUCUGCACAAUGUUUCACCUUUUCAUAAGUUUUUUCAAAAUUACCCUGAUUACUCACACUUACAAGUGUUGGGUGCACUUGUUUUGUUCUUCUACCCUCUCUUGCACGAGAUAAACUCUCAUCUAAGUCUGUCAAAUACAUGUUUGCGGUAUACAACUAAUCAAAAGGGGUAUCGUUGCUUUGAUCCCACCAUUAAUUGUGUGAGAAUCUCACAACAUGUUUUUUUUUUCUUUUAAAUAUAUCUUUUCAUCAACACUAUUUACACCCUACUACACCCACAUGUCCACCUGAUUUUUUAAUCCUCACUGGAUUCGACAUUCCUAGUCCUCAAGGCUGUAACUCCAAUGAGCCAACUCUUCCUAGUACUGAUCAUCUACCACCUCCAAUUGUUGAUCUACCCAUUGUCUCUCAGCAACUUUGGCAGUCUCUUUGUAAGUUUGUUCCUUCUGAUUGUCUUAACUUGCUAGUGGUUUGCUUAUCUCAUACAUGUUUUCCAACAAGCACUCCUAACCCUUUUUUUCAUGUGUCAUCCUCUUAUUCUCAGGCAUUUAAACUUUAAUGUUGGCACAUGGCCAUGAAUGAGGAAAUCACAGUUUUAGAGGUGAACCACACUUGGGAUUUAGUUCCAUUGCCCCCUAACAAGCAUGUCAUUGGUAGUAAAUGAGUUUAUAAGAUUAAGUUAUGAGCUGAUGACACCCUUGAGCGGCACAAAGCACAAUUAGUUACAGAAGAUUAUACUCAAGAAUAUGGUAAUGAUUAUGAAGAAAAUUUUGCUCCUGUUGCUAAGAUGACUACAAUUCGUACUCUUCUUGCACUAGCAUCAAUUCGUGACUGGCCUAUAUUGGCAGAUGGAUGUUAAAAAUGUUUUUCUUAAUGGAGAGCUUCAAGAUGAAGUUUAUAUGCACCAACCACCUGGAAUUUGUUGUUAUACCUGUGUUUGCUGCUCUAGAUACAUCAUUUCUGUCGACUUCGUAAUGUAAUUUAUGGUCUUAAACAACUUCUUUGUGCAUGGUUUGAGCAUUUUAGGGAUGUCAUUCUUGCAACUGGUUUUAUUCAAAGUAAACAUGAUCACUACAUGUUUAUUCAUACCACAGACAUGACAUUUGUAUUAUCUUACUAUAUAUUGAUGAUAUUCUCAUCUCUUGAGAUGAUUACACUUCCAUCAAAGAUAUGAAGCUACGAUUCCAAAAAGAAUUUCAAAUGAAAGACCUUGGGGAAGUAUCUUACUUCCUUGGCCUUGAGAUCGCUCGUUCUAAACAUGGUAUUUAUAUCCAUCAACAGAAGUAUGCAAUUGAUCUUAUUCCAGUUCCCGAUUGACUGAUGUGAAGGUUGUAGAUACACCCAUGGAGCUUAAUGUUAAAAUUUCUGCGCAUUUUAGAGACCCUCUUCCUGUGCCUACAAUGUAUCGCAAACUCGUAGACUCCCUCAUCCAUCUCACUAUGACAUACCUAGAUAUUAAAUAUGAUGUCUACGUUGUAAGCCAGUUUGUUUUAGAUCCUUGAUGACUACAUCUAUCAACAAUCCAUUGAAUUUUAUGCUAUGUUCAAGGUACUUCCAUUCGUGGAUUAUUUUUUACCUUCACAUCUUUUUUUAGAUCUCAGCGCAUAUGCAGAUGCAGAUUGGACAGGUGAUUCAGACACUUGUCGCUCUACUACAGGAUAUUGUGUAUUUCUUGGAUCCUCCUUGAUAUCAUGGAAGAAUAAGAAACAAGAUAUUGUCUCUAAGUCAAGCACUGAAGCUGAGUAUCGUGCUCUGUCCUUUGUUAUCAGUGAGAUUAUUUGAGUUUGUGCUCUUCUCAAUGAUUUUGGUAUCACUAUUUUCAUAUCCCACACCUUUAUAUGCAAAUAACCAAAGUGCGAUUAAAAUUGCAUCUAAUCCAGUCUUUCAUGAGAGGACAAAGCAUAUUAAUGUGGAUUACCAUUAUGUUUGUGACAUCUAUCUUGAUGGCAUAUUAUCUGUCCAUUAUGCGUGUUCUACUAUACAAACGACUAAUAUUUUGACCAAAUCAGUUACUCGAAAACUCCAUGAUUUUCUCGUGGACAAGAUAAUGCUUUCCUCAUGUCCGCAUCAGCUUGACGGGGUAAUAAUAAAUAAAAUUGCUACCUUUUUUAAUAUUUACGAAGUGGCCUUAGGGAUUAAGGUUAAUUUUGCGAAGUUGGAUGUAGUUGGUAUUAAUUGUGAUGAAUCCUUAUUGGCCUGAAUGGCAACUACCCUAGGUUGCAAAGUAGAGAACUUCCCUAUCUUGUACUUGGGGCUGCCUAUUUUAGAUGGGAGGUUACCUAUGGGUGUAUGGGAUAAAGUAAUCCAAAGAAUUCAAAUUAAACUUGAUUUAUGGAAGUAUAAAGACAUCUCUUUUGGAGGUAGGAUUACCUUGAUUAAAGCUUGCCUCUCAAAUUUAUCGAUCUAUCAAAUGUCCUUGCUGCAGAUUCCUCACAGGGUGGUCAAGAAGAUUGAAACUUUGAUGAGAAACUUUUUGUGGAGCUCUUUCGACAACUCUUAAAAUGUUGCACUUCUUGCGUUGGGAUAGGGUGUGUACCCCUACGAUGGAAGGUGGACUAGGCUUAAGGCGAGUUACUUUGUUUAACUAAGCACUUAUGUCUAAGUGGUGGUGGAGAAGUUUGAUCCUUAAAGACCAGUUGUGGUACAAAGUUGUUGCUGCAAAAUAUGGGGUUGAUCGAUUUCAGAUGUGAUUUGGAGGUAGAAGUGGUACACAGGCGAUGUCUUCUCUCUGGAAGCACAUUCAUUCGUGUAGGGCGCUGAUUCACAAGGAUGUCCGGUGGUCCUUGGGUGAUGGUUGUAGCAUCUCUUUCUAGCACCACAAGUGGGUUGGAGAUGUGCCUUUGAAGCUUCUCUUUCCCGUUGUUUUUCGACGUAUGGUUAACCUCAAUGCUGCUGUCACUACUGUGUUUGUACGCAGGGGUUGCCAGGUGAGUUGGAACAUUUCUCUCCCCUAUAGUAGGAUUCCCGAUGCUGUUUUUCAGGAAUUCGUUGGGCUGCUUAUCCUUCUCCAUCAGGUCUAUGUUCCACAUAAUGCCUCCGACAUAGACAUUUGGAAGAUUCAGUCCGAUGGACAGCACUCAGUUAAGUCCAUGCAUAACCUCUUGUUCUGUGACCACUAGCAUUGGUCGAUGCCUCAGAUUGCCCUAAUCUGGAAAUGGCCUUUCCCUUUAAAGAUACAAGCUUUCCUUUGGCUGGAAGUACAAAAUAAGGUUCUCACUGUUGACAACCUUAUCAAGAGAGGUAAGGUGUUGCCUAAUGUGUACUUAUUGUGUAAAUUGGAUGCUGAAAUAGGGCCACACCUCUUUCUUCAUUGCGCUUUCACUUUUUGAAUCUGGUGCUGGUUUUUGAUGAACUUGGUCUUGCCUUGGUGAUGCCUGCUGAUGUUCUUGGGAUCAUCUCGAUUUUGUCGGCUCCCCUUCCGAAGGCUAGCAUGAUCUUACGGAAGAUGACAAGAUGUGUAAUUCUCUGGGAGGUUUGGAAGGAAAGGAACCGUAUUUCGAUAAUGUCAACCUACCUUUUGCGAAGGUGUUGGACAAUAUUCUUCAUGGGUUGUGGCUCUUCUGCUCUGUGUCGAAGGAUCGAUCCAAUAUGUUGGAAAUUGAUGUCAAGAGGAACCUUUCAAUCCUCUUUCGUCUAAGUGUUUUCAAAAGUAGACCGACGCGUAGAUGGAUGCCCCCCUUGGAGGGAACUUUUAAACUCAAUUUUGACGGAAGCUCUUUGGGAAAUCUUGGUCCGGCUGGCAUUGGAGGUGUUCUAAGAGACUGAAAUGGUACGGUGGUGUUCUCUUAUGCUGGACCCCUUGGGGAUAGAACGGCCAACUAUGCGUAGAUGCAGAGCCUUCUUCAUGGCUUAAAGAUCUUCAUUGAAAGGCAACUAGGCCGGUUCUGUAUUGUGGAGGGGGAUUCACUGAACGUCAUUAAUUGGUGUAAUGGAACUCAUAGACCCCCCUAAGAGCUUAGGUUCACCUUGCUGCAGAUCUGGGAUUUGUCUAGGACUCCUGAUACUUCGUUUGUGCAUGUUUUUCGUGAGGCUAAUGUGCUAGCCUAUCAUUUUGCAAAAGGUAGUUCGACCCUUACGUCUUUUUUAUCUUCAGAUACUGUAAUAUCUUUCUAGCUUUUGAUUAAUACAAGUACCGAAUUUCUCUCAAAAAAAUAAUAAAUAAAAUAAAAUGUAAUUUUGUAUAGCUUUCAUUUGUCCUUUAUUGUCGUUGUAUAUUUACGUAGGGAUAGUUUGGUCUACACUAAAUAUAUAUUGUAUAUAAACCCUCUUAGGGUUUCAUUCUUGGUAACGAGAAUUAGCCCUACAUUUCAUUUCUCUAUCUAUCUCUCCCUUUCAUCUUUGCUUCUCGAAAUCUAUCAUGAACAAGAACACCAAAACUUGAUGGAUAUUUGCGAACUAGGCAUAGAGUCACAAAACCCCAAAAUAUGAGGCUAGUAUUUGGGGCAAUGUGUCGAUGGGGUUCGAGGGUUAUUUCUAGUCAAGGUUAGCAAGUAUACCUUAUGAUCGUUUAACAACUAUGGCAGACUGUUAAGUAUUUCUGAGUACUUCGAAGUAACUAUGAGAAUUAUGUGAAAUGCUAUGGAGCAAGUAUUUGAGAGAACUAUUGUUAGCUCAAGUAUAUCUAAGUAUUACUGUCGCCUUUGCGCGUAGGCUAGGCUUUAAGAUGCCAUAAGCCAAACUCUUUGACCUCGAUGUAUCCCAUAGUGUGUCCAUAGAUAGUUGCAAAUGGAAACCCCUCUUUUUGGUCAUGAUAAAAAAAAAAUGAUGUAUGCACUUAUGGUAGAGAGGGAACCGCACAUCUAAAAGAUUGGGACAAGAUUGCAUGUCCCAAGGGGUCUACAUGUAAUUCACAAUAAUUAGAAUUUGGUCAUCUAUAGUAUUUACUUUGACAAGUUGAGCAUGAACGUCUGUUAGAGAUAGUGGGUUAUAGAUCUUAUUGAAUUAGUUUAAGAAAAAUGGAUUAGGGUUAUGCAACUAGCCGAGUCGAGUGCUUAAUUGUCCGAUUCUAUUUCCUACAUGAUCUUACGUUCUUAAAAUAGUUAUAUUUGAUUGAAAAUUGAUUUAAAUUGAUGAAAUAAUCUUGAACAUGAAUUCUGGUGAUUUUUAGGAAUUUAAUGCAAUCUUAUUGGGGGGAAUUUGGGUUUAAAAAUUUUUCUUUAGGAAAUUUCAUCCUAAGGACAUAACUUCAACAUAGGGCUCAAAUGGCCAAUGGGCCCCACAUCUGACUGGCCAAUGUUGCGCCACAAGGCAAGCAUGUGGCCCACACGCAGAUGACGUUUGAUGACACUAGCCCUUGGUAGAGCGUAGAUAUGUUGUGUUUGGUUGAGCAUUUUAUUUGUAAUAUGUUUAAUUUUGUCUUUGUGACUUUCCUUUUAUUUUUAGCACGGUAUUGUAACUCACACAUAUACACAUUGGUACAUGUGGGUACCAUCUAGGCUUAGAUAUAUAUUUUUUAGUAAUUGGGUUUAUUUGAAUUUAAAAUUUUAAAAUUAAAAAGAAAAUUCCUUUUUUUUUUUGAAAAUUUAAUUUGGAUUAAAGUCGAUAAGGUGGUAAAAUCACAUUCACACAUCAUCAAAUGUAAUUAUGCGAUAUGAGGCUAGGAUUAAAGCCUCUCUCUCACAAUAGCUCACAAAGAUCAAGAUGGGUUCUACACACUCCCUAGAGAACCAUAUAAAACUUCAUUAAUCCUAAACUCUUUCUAACACUAAAUCAUUUUUCUCUAGCCCCCGCAUUGAGAUAAGAGAGGGCUAAGAGAGAGAAGAGAGAAAAGUGGAUGUUCCUCCCUUGGUGAGUCUUACAAGGCCAAGCCAUGUAGCUACAUUGAGUAUGGUGAUAUUGGUAAUCCAUAGCAACCAAAGGAAGUUAUCCUCACAUCGUUUUGAUGCAAAACAAAAUUAAAAAUAAUAGUAAUUAAAUUUUCAUAUUUUGUAAUUUUUUGAGUUUUUUUUUUUUUAGAAUUUAGUUAGGGUGUUGAAGGUAUGAAGUUACACCGAUUUAGUGUGGUUUCUGUAAAAUGGAGCUUGGGGGAGAAGAUGAUGAGGUGGAUGGUAGGUUUGAUUGUUUGGGAGCUUCUAUCAUUCAGGUGAGGAAUGACCUUUCAUCCGGCCUCCUUGCAGGGGCUGGAUUCUCUGUUGUGGGCUCCUUCUCCCUACCAGCUAAUGAUAUUUUUGGUCUGAGUGAUUGGGCUUGGAGGGGAUGGGGUUUAUCUUAUGCUCCGCUUGUUAAAAUUUUGGGAGACAACAAAAUAGCCUUUUUGCUGCUAUCAAAAGAGGAUGCUUUUGUUGCUCUUUCCAAUAGGUUUUUUAGGAUUCGGGGCAAGUUGUUUUCCUUGGAUUUAUGGAAACCUUCUACCCAUCUAUCCUAUAUGCAGAAAGAGAGUCUUUGGAUCAGCCUUUCUGGUAUCCCAUUCCAUGCUUGGACUCUGGAUACAGUCCGAAGAUUGCAAAUUGUUGUGGGGAAUUUUGCGAUGUUGAUAAUGACUCUUUUGUGGGGAUUGAUGUUAGAGUUGUUAGAGUAUGUAUAUGGAAACUCAUAGCGAUGUCUAUCCCCAAAGUUGUAAGACUGGUUGUGGGGCAAGAGUCUUUGCCAUUGGAGUCUCUUCGAUGGCUACAAAAAAGCCACGUAUGCCUAAACCUGUGACAGAGGAAGGAUGGAAGGAGGUUCAUCAUCAUUGACCUCAUGACUAUUUUUUUUUUUUUGGGCAGCUCAAUGGAAUUUUCUGCAGAAGCGUGACCACUGAAAUUUUAUGAUAGGAGUUACGAAUUUUCGAAAUUUGAAAAUUUGGAAAAGAUGGAUACCGGUUGGCCGUUCUGGGAAAUUCCGGCGUCUUAUCCGUCAAACAUUUGUGGUGGUGUGGUGGAUGUUAACCAACAUUCUGGUCGCACGGGCUCACCUUUUUCGAAAGAUCAAAAUCUAAGGAAAAAUCAGUCCGAACUGCAUGCAGUCUUUUCGGCCUAAUUAUCGGGGCUGGUUGGGAAUACCCCCCCGGAUACUUCACCGACGACGGGAUGUGAUCUGCAGGCUAAGGCAUUUCCUCUUUCCUUCUUCUCUGCGGCUGAUUCUGAGAAAGUUCUCUCUCAUAAGAUUGAAAAGGCUAGAAGCCUUUUCCUCCUUUCGGUCCUGGUGGUUGCGAGUCAAUGCAGCCUGUCUUCGGUCUUUGGUGGCCUCCCUGGUGCUUCUAUCGGUGCUCAAAAUUAUGUAUCUUCCUCAUCAUCGUCGGGUGGCUAGGCCAUAUCGAUCCAUUGCGAGUCCCACUUUUGAUCCUCUGUCGGUGGAUCCUUUAGCGAUCGUGUUGGUUGAGGAGAGCUCAGAGCCUCAGUUGCUGGAAGAAGGAGAGUUCGUCCCAAAGACUUUGAUUGUUGCAGCAGACGCUACUUCAGAGGGUAACUUACGUGAAAGACAUGCCUUGGUGCCGGUGGAUGACCAACCUCACCUAAAUGUUAUCCCUAAGGAGACCCGUUUGUUGCUGCUUCACUUUAUGGAUGACAAAUUGGUUAAUUUGGGUCAAGAUGUCAUGGUCGAAGAGAUGGUGACUGACCCGGAGUUGGACAUUAUCAGGACUAUUGUUUCUGACUGUGGUAUGGACUUCAAUGUGUCCAUUGGAGUUGUUUUUCAAGAGAUUGUUGCUAAGAAAAAGGCUGAGAAGAAAGCGAAGGUUGCUGAGUGCAAGGAGCCAUGUGAAGCUUUGGCGAAAACUCAAUCGAUAGGGGCUAAGAUGAAGAAUAAAGGCAAAGUUGUCACUAAAGGAACUAGGUCUUCAGCAAUGUUACAGGCUCGACGUGUUCUUCCUCUGAAUACGGCUACUCGUGGUGUUGUCAUCUCAGAUGACCAGGUGAUUGAUGUAAGUUUUGAUUCUUCGGGUGGUGACGGGAUGCUCGGAGCUAGCCUUGAUGAAGCAAGGAUGUUGGAAAAAGUAUUUUUUGGUGAUAGCAAGGAGGGCCCAGGUUCUUCCUCUGUUAAUCCUUGUUAAAUGAUUGUGAUUUGUUGGAAUGUUAGAGGUCUGGGUGACCUCAAACGAAAAAAGGAUGUUAAGUUUUUGGUUUCAAAAUUCAGACCUUCAGUUCGAAUUUUGCAGGAAACUAAACUUCCCUGCCCUACCUGUAUGGGGCUAGUGAAGUUUGGGGUCCAAGUUCAGUAGAUUUUGUUGGGGUGGCUUCUGUUGGAGCAUCAGGGGGUCUUUGGAUUCUUUGGGAUCCUUCUAUUCUUCGACUAUUUUUUGUACUUGAAAAAACAAACUUUUUGUUAGUUGGUUGUGUGGGGCUUUCUUCUGAUUUUAAAUGGGGUUUGAUGAAUGCUUUUGGUCCUCAAACUUUUGCUGCUAAAGAAGUUUUUGUCAAUGAGAGGUCAGAUGCUCUUAAUUCAGAUGAUUUUUUUAUUUAUUAGUGGGGGGGGGGAUUUCAAUUUUAUUAGAUGGCCGGAUGAAAGUAAUUAUGGUGGGCCGAUUACUGCUGCUAUGCGGUUAUUUAAUAGGUUUAUUGAGGCUUUUGCCUUGAUUGACCUACCAAUUUUGGGCACGGGUUUUAAUUGGACCAAUGGUAGUUCUAUAAAUCUAUCAAUGUCUAAGCUUGAUAGAUUCUUGGUUUCUGGUGAAUGGUUUGAGAACUUCUCUUAGGCUUCGGUUAAAGCUCUACCUCAACUUUCGUCAGAUCACACCUCUAUUAUGUUGUGUUCAAAAGUUAUAUCUAAGGGUCCAACACCUUUUAGAUUUGAAAUAGGUUGGCUUCAUGAGAAAAAAGUGAUAUUGUCAAUAAUACUUGGGAGAAUACUAUCUCCUUUGGAUCUCUUGAUUAUUAACUUCACAAAAAGAUUUUGAAUGUUAAACAUAAUCUGCUUGCUUGGAAAAGAGAUAAGGGCUUUAAUAUUAUAAGCAAAAUUGAGGAAGUUUUCGGUAGACUUGAGAUGUUCUGCUGUCCAAAGUUUUGGGGCUUUAUCAAAUAAGUUUAUUGUUAAAAGACACUCUUAUACUCAGGAGUUACAAGAACUUAGGAGAAUUGAGGAGGUGUAUUGGAAGCAAAGAUCCCAUGUUAGAUGGUUGAAAGAAGGGGAUCUGAAUACUAAGUUUUUCCAUGUGAUUGCCAAUGCCUGCACUCGUCAGAAUGAUAUGUUUGGUCUUGUGAUCAAGGUGUUGAUCCAGAAGAUGAUAGUGGUAUCUCUGAUGUUGUCAUUAAUCAUUUCCAAAAGGCUUUCUCCUUUAAAAUAAAAGCCACCCCCAGGUUGCAUCGGGUGGGUUUUAGAUCUCUUCUUUCUAAUCUAAUUUCUUUCUUGGAAAAAGAUGUCUCUAUGGCUGAAUUAAAAAGAGUAGUAUUCUCCUUGCCAGGUGAUAAAGGUCCUGAUACAGACAGAUAUCCUCUCAUCUUUUUUCAUACCUUUUGGCAUUUAGUUGGAUGUGAACUUUUGGAAAUGGUAAGGGGGUUUCUAAGAAGAGGGGAACUUUUCAAAGGUGUCAACUCCACUCUUAUAGCCAUUAAUCUUAAAAAGUCUGGGAUCGCCUCUCUUUGUGAUAUCAAUCCCAUUAGCCUAUUGAUUAGCCUCUAUAAAAUUGUAUCCAAAGUGCUUGCAGAGAAACUUAAAGUGGUGUUACCAUCUAUCAUUUCUGGCCCCCAGACAACAUUUAUUAACAAUAGGUUAAUCACUGACAAUGUUUUGGGUGCCCAGGAAUGUAUUCAUUCUCGUAUUAUUGACAGUUCUCCCGGAAUUGUGAUCAAGUUGGAUAUAGAAAAGCUCAAGUUGGAUAUAGAAAAAGCUUAUGAUAGAGUGGAAUGAAGUGUUCUGCUAGAGAUAAUGAAGAAUAUGGGGUUUGAGGAAAAAUGGAGGAAUUAGAUGUUUAAAGGUAGCCCUAUGGUUAUUUUAGGGCUUUGAAGGGUCUUUGCCAAGGUGACCCUCUUUCACCAUUUUUAUUCACAAUUUAUGCAGAGUGUUUUAGUUUAUUUGUUCGUAAUAUUGAUUCUAAAGGGAACUUUGCUAGUUUUCAACUUCCAAAUGGGGGACCUUGUAUAUCUCAUCUUCAAUAUGCUGAUGAUACUGUACUAGUUUGCGAUGUUGAGGAGGAACAGGUCACUAAUAUAACCACCUUUUAAAAAUGUUGUGAAGUUGCUUUAGGUCUUAAGGUGAAUUUUGGUAGGACAUCUGUGAUAGGUAUCAAUUGUGAUGAUACGAUAGUGGCUGCUUUGGUAGAGACUAUGGGCUCUAAGGUGGAUCAAUUCCCAAUAUUGUAUCUUGGUAUGCCCAUUUUUUAUCGUCUCUCUAUGGCAAUGAGGGAUAAAAUGAUUCAGUGAAUCUAACUUAAGCUCGAUCUAUGAAAAUACAAAUAUCUCUCUUUGGGGCGAGGAUUACUUUGAUUAAAGCUUGUCUAUCUAAUCUCACUAGUUAUUAAAUGUCUAUUUUGCAGAUCCCCUCUUCGGUGGCUAGAAAGAUUGAGAUGCUUAUGAGAAACUUUCUUCGAGGGACUCAAAAAAAUUCUAUCUUUUUAGAUGGGAUAGGGUAUGUACACAAAAAAGGGAAAGUGGUCCAAGGAUUAGGAAAAUUAAGUUGGUUAAUCAGACUUUACUAUGUAAAUAGUGGUGGAGUCGUCUAAAUUUUAAGGAUCAACUUUGGUACAAAGUGAUUAUCUUAAAGUAUGGCGAUGACAGAUUUAAUAUGUGGACUGAAGGUAAGUUUAGCAAUAGGAGGAUAUCACUUAUUUGGAAAUCUAUCAAUUCGUAUAAGCCUCUUAUCCAUAGAGUUAUCAGAUGGACUGUUGGUGAUGGCAGGAAUAUCUCCUUUUGGCACCAUAAGUGGUUAGAUAAUUCACUCUUAAAUUAUGUAUUCCCUAUGAUUUUCAAUAAGGUUAUUAAUCCCAAUGCCUUGAUCUCCGAUCUUUUUGAGAGGAGGGGGGAUCAGAUUGAGUAGAAGAUCAUCUUACCAUAUAAUAGAAUUCCUGAUGAACUUCUCUUGGAGUUUAGCGGCUUCCUGACUGUGCUUAAUGAGGUAUAUAUUUCCCUGAAUGCAAAAGAUGAUGAGGUGGUUUGGGACAUUUCAAGAGAUGGUCUAUGUACCAUCUUUUGUUUCAGGAUCGAUGGAUGUGGUUGACGCCCAAAAUUGUUGUUAUUUGGAAGUGGUCGAUUCUACUUAAGAUGCAAGCUUUUCUGUGGUUGGCGGUGCAAAAUAAGGUAUUAUCUACAGAUAAUCUCAUUAAAAGGGGAAAAAUCCUGCCAAAUAGAUGUUUACUUUGUAAAAGGGAUGGUGAAUUAAGAGCCCAUUGCUUUCUCCAUUGCCUUUUACUGGUAGUAUUUGCUAGUGGUUUUUUCCUAAGGUUAAAGUGGUGCUGAUUUUACCUCCAGAUGUUAUUGGAAUUAUUGGAGCCUUAUCUGUCUCGUCGCUUCCUAAAACUGGUGCGGUGAUUUGACAAAUAGCAAGAGAGGUUAUUUUAUGGGAAGUUUGAAGGAGAGGAAUAGAAGAGUUUUUUGGGGAUAAGCUCACCUUUUGAUAGAAUUUUUGAUAAAAUUCUUCAUUCUAUUUGGAUGGAUUUGUCUAUUGCAAAGGUGGGGAGAAAUAUUUUGGAAGUGGAUGUUAGAACAAAUUUAUACCAUCUUUUCCAUAUGGGUUACAUGAAGUGUAGCGAAAGAGAGAUGGACUGCUCCACCAUGAGGCAUUUUAAAAUUGAAUUUUGAUGGGAGUUCGCUGGGCAAUCCAUGUCUAGCUAGUUCUGGAGGAGUUCUGAGGGAUUGGGAAGGACGAGUUUUGUUUUCUUAUGCUGGGCAUUUGAGAGAGAAAACCGCUAACCACACUGAGUUUAUGUCUCUCAUACAUGGUUUAAAAUUUCUUGAUGCCGGUUUUUUUGGAUCAACUUGCAUUCUUGAAGGUGACUCCUUCAAUGUUUUCAAUUGGUGUAAGGCGGAGAAGAAAGUACCAUGAGAAUUGCGAUCGGUUUUGCUACAGAUUUUGGAUUUGUCCAAUUCUUUUUCUCUCUCCUUUGUCCAUGUUUACAAGGAGGUUAAUGAUUUGGCUGAUAGUUUAGCAAGAAAUGGUACCUUUCUUAUAGAGAUUUUAGUCUUUGAUUAUGUAAUUUCCUUUUAGAAUCUAAAUAAUAUUUCCUGACUUUAAUAAAAAAAAAUGGGUGUUAAGGUAUGGGCUGGAACCUGUUUUUUAGGGCCUCAGUUUUAAGAUAAGGAUAGUUUGGUAAUAUGAAAUUGGUUAGGAUAAGGUAGCCUGUGGGAUUACAAGAACCAUAAAGGAAAGUUGAAAAAAAAGGAUUUACAAAAUAUGAAGUUAGAGAGAGAGAGAGAGAUACGAAGGGAUGACAAUGGUGGUAUGGGAGUAUUAGAGAUUUGUUUGGGUGAAAUGGGGGUAGAAAAUGGUACAAUUUUAAAAAUUGAAAGCUCAAACUCUUUUUGUUUUUAGGCACACAUGAGCACUAUAUCAAGGCGAUAUUUUCCCCCCCUUUGAUAUAGAAUUUGAUGCAUAUAAGAAAGGCAAUUCAUCCUCGGGAUACAAGAAAACAAAGAUGUCUUUUUCAAUAUUCCUAAAUUAGUUUAGAGACAGAAAGAGACAAAAUGGAGUAGAGAGAGUUAGCCCACUGGUUUUUUUCAUUGGAAUUGCAGAGAAUGGUUCAUUGAGAGAGACGCCAGGGCUGUGAAAAGUAUGUAUCUCGUAUGGGAUAGACUCCCCAUUAAAUAGAGCUAUAAGGUGAUUGCUUAUUAACUAUAGUGAUGGUUACAUGCACUACCAAAAGCUACAAGUUACAUGCAACAUAAACGGUUACAAGUUACAUGCACUUUAACUCUCUUGAUAGCUGUUGUUAUAGCCUCCUUUUGCUUCCAUCUCAUCAAUGGCUAAAUAAUCGUUGGAUACCAUAUGAGUCAGGCUCACAAAAUGACAACGAACUACGAGCCCGACCAAUACUCGGGCGAGGGAUGCCUCAUGUACUGAUACAAGUGUGCAAAGUACAAAGUGUGACAUCAAACGCCCUUGCAGCCAUGCCUUCGAAUGCUUUGCGUGCUCCACACGUGCACUUUCUCUCUUUUUUGUACUUAUAGUAUAUUGCAUGGGAGUACGUGCUCUUAAAUACAACUUAACAAACUCUCUCCUCUUCAGUGUGAAACUCAAACCCACAUCUUUAUCUAUCUACAAAAGCAAUUGAAGAAAGAUUAAUAAAACCAAAGUUGUUUUGAAAUAUACUUAAGUAUUUUUCAAACAAAAAAUACUAAAAGGAAGGAUAUGUUUGUUUGUAUUAAAAGAGGUGUGACCCCUCUUUGAAAGGAGAUUAUUGGCGAUUGAAUAACGAGUUUGAUUUUGUAAUAAGAUCUUCGGUAGACUUCCUUACAGACUCAGAGAUGGUAUAAUCUCUCAAAUGUUUUUUAUUUUAUUUUUAUUUUCUAAUUAUUUUCUCCUUGCAUCAGUUGAAAUCUAAGCAGCUAAGUAUGAUCUUUAUAUGUCCAUUUCUUCAAUAGAUCCAUGCUCCUUUCAUGACUAGAUGACCCACCUUGCUAUCUAGCAUAAUCUCUUCCAUUAUGACAACUUUCUUUUUAUUUUCAUGUGUAUUUCCUGAUGAAAUUUUUUGAAACUUUUCAUCAUGAAUUAGAAGGUAUUUUGAGAUUCUAAUGAGUUUCUUAUGACGUUUGAACCUAUAUUAGUUUAGUGAGCAUGAUAUACAUUUGCUUCCCAAACCUAAGAUCCAUUUGAAAUCAUUAAAAUUGUGCUAUCUAAAGUGAGCAUUCAUGUGGUAUGUAUCUAAGUCUUGACCAUAAACUGGGCAAAUCGAGCAUAUAUUUUGUUUUCCAUUAGUAUGAGGGGAUUGUCUAGAGAAAAGCCAUUUAUCUUUUCCGUAUGGAGAUUACAAUCAUUCUUGUCCCUUAAAUUUCAAAAUGGGUGGUUAUAAGAGUAUCAUUUAACAGACACAAAGUUCCAAAAAUAAAUUCUCAGACGUUGUGACUCACCCCAAGCCAUCCAAUUUGAUAUUUAAUGAGUGUAAACGAUUGUGACAUCUAUGUAGAAAAGAUAAAUGGUCUAUUUAUAAAAAGUCCCUAUUAUAAGACUCUUAUGCUACUAUUGGGUUAAGUCUAGGUAUUUUAAGAGAUUGAAUUUGUUUUUGUUUUGUCCUUUAUGUACUUAAUGUAUCAUUUGACCAAUUUGUAUGUUAGUUGGAAAUUGUGUGUAAGUUGAAUAUGUGUUUAGUCAAUCUCCAAGUUGUGGUUUGAGCUGAACUAGUUUGUGGAUCAAAGUGGAGUGUUAUGUUACGUACUUUGAAGGUAUGUAAGGUGAAAUUAUGUUCACUUACUGUAAAUUUCUUUAAAGAGACAUUAUAUGUCCAUUUACUCAUUGUUAGUAGUCUCCUUGAGGAAAGACCCUGUAAACUCACACCUAUACUUGGACCCAGAUUUGCUGGUUGGGUUAGGUCUGGGUCAAAAGAAAAAUAAAUGUGACUGUCAAUAAAGAGACUAUAUAUCUUUUAUGCAUUGAGGUCACAAUGAUUCACUCAUUAGAUGUCAAAUUGGAUCGCUUGUGGUAAGUCAUAAAGUCGAAACAAUUUUUUUUGUGAACUGUGUCAAUUCAAUGACGCUCCUACAACCACCCAUAUUAAAAUACAAGGGACAAAAAUAUUAGAUGUCUAAUAGGUGGGGAAAGUCACGAAGUCCGAGAAUAUUUGUUUUUUAUUGUAAAUUUAAUGACACUCUUACAACCACCCAUUUUAAAAUUUAAAGGACAAAAAUGAUUGUGACCUCCAUAUACAAGAUAAAUAGUCUCUUUGUAGAUAAUCCCAAAAUAAAUUCUAUUAUAAAUAUUUUAUAUAACAUAUAAAAUAAGAAUGAGGUUUCUAUAAGACCUAGGCUUUACGAAAACAAAAUAAGGCCUCACCUCAAAUUCUCGUCUGGAAAGUACUUUCGAUGAUAGAAAUCUUUAUAAUAGCUCUAAAAUCAAUUUCCAACACUGGCAAUAAAAUUUGUAACUCAAAAAAUGGUACAGAUCUUGUAGAUAUGUGAAUAUUUUUUAUUAAAGAAAAAUAGAUAGUCUAGAUAAUUUGUUACUGUCUUUAGAGCUUCAAAUUCCUUUUUUUUUUUUUUUUUUCAGCCAUAAUGUUUAGGUUAAGAUGAUCGAUGUAAUGGUUUUCCAAUACUUGACUUGAAAUUUUCGAUGAGUUAUGAGGUGAGGAUUUAAUUAUUUUAUCGGGGUUGCAACCCUAUCAAACCAUUUUCCAUAAAACAAUGUUGCAUAUAAACAUAUAAUAUUAUACAUAAGGAAAUGUAUAUAAUGAGACCAUUUACUUUUGAUACAAGGAGGCCACAAUCAUCAUUAACCAUUGGAUUUGAAUUCAGGUGGUUAAAAAUGGGUUAUUAAUUGGACACAAUGUCAAGAUAAAAUUUCUCGAAUGUUGUGACACAUUUUCAUCAUUUCACAUUCAAUGACUAAAAAUGAUUAUGACCUCCUUUAGGCCUAAAAAUGGUUUUGAUUGGGUCUAGAUCCACAGGUUUCCAAAUUCAUAUCCGAAAAGGAUACAUGAGAUUUGAGCCCAAUCGGAUCCAGAAUAUUUAGAUCCAGAUCCAAAUUUAAAAAGUCUACAUGGGAUUUGGAUCCUGACCACAUCGGAUCGAAGAAAAUAUUUUAUAUAUUAUUUUAUAAUAUUAAAUAAUAUAUAACGAAAUAUACUAUACAUAAUAUAUUUAUAUAUAUAAUGAUAUAUAAAUAACUUCCUCUGAUCAAAUCAAAUCCACCUGUACCUGGAUCCAAAUCCGACUUAUCGGAUCCAAAUCCUUGAUCCAUACGCUGAUCCGAAUAAGAUCCAAAAUUUCGGUUUUAGAUCCAAAUUGAGCAAAUUCUCAACCCUAACCUCCUUGUACCAAAAAUAAGUGGUCUCAUAGCAUACAAUCCCUAUAUAUAAAUAUCAAUUUGUACUUAGUAGGGUCAACAUUCAUCUAGAUCCGACACAAAUAGAUAAUCUAGACCUGACCCAAGUCUGAUCCAAGUCAUAUGAACUUGAACCUAACCCACCAAGUCCAAUAUUUGGAUAGGAUCCAUGUGGGGUGUACUUAUGAUUGGGGUUGACCCGUCUUCAUGAUCGACCCGAUCCUAUUGCCGCCCCUAAAAGCACUGUAAGCUAGACAAUAAUGACCUAAAAAUGGGUCAAUAAUGAAUGACUUGAACGAAAGGUGAAUGAAAGAUACCUUGAAAACCUUUGGUCAUAGAAAAUCUAAAUUCAAGUAGGGUUUGAAAUUCGGGUUUUGGAUCCAAACUGAGUAAAUUUUUAACCCUAACCUCCUUGUACCAAAAAUAAAUGACAUCAUAGUAUAUAAUCAUUACAUAUAAAUAUCAGUUUCCCUUUAAUAGGGUCAACAUUCACCAAGAUCUGACCCAAACCGAUAAGCUAGACCUGACCCAAGUUAAAUCCAAGUCAUCUGAACUUCGAUCUAACCCACCAGGUCCAAUAUUUGGAUAGGACCCAUGUGGGGUCUACUUAUCGUUGGGUUGAUCCGUCUUCAGGGUCGACUCGAUCCUAUUGCCACUAGGGGUGAGAACGGAUACGAUCGGGGCCAGAUCCGACCAGAUUUUAAUCGAAUAGUAUACAUCGGAUCCAGGUUCAAACCUGAUCUUGGAUAUUAGGAUCCGGAUCUGGAUCCAGAUUGUAUAUAUACUAUUUUCAAAAAUUUAUAUAUAUAAACAAAAAUUUAGUAUUAAAAAACGACCGGGUUGGAUCCGGAUCGAAUCCACCUGCAUUCGGAUUGAUCUUGAUUUUAAUUUGGAUUUGAUUUUUUAUCCAGAUCCAGAUUUCAAAUCCAAAUUUGGGGUCCAUCCCUGAAUUUGAAUAGGGCCCAAAAUCGGAGUUUCAGAUCCGCAUCGGGUCAAUUCUCACCCCAAAUUGCCACCCCUAAAAGCAAUAUAAGCUAGGACAACUGUAACUUAAAAUAGUGCAAUGACUCAAUAAUGAAUGAUUGGAAGGCGAAUGAAAGAUACCUUGAAAACCUCUAGUCAUAGAAACCCACAGCUAUGUACUUUCUCAGUGUGGCCAAUGCCACUAUUUGUUGGGUUCGGCCCACAUGAGCUCCAUGAUGUGUGUGUAUUUAUAUGUUGUGUGUGUAUUUGUAUGUUGUACGUGUAUUUGUUGGUGCAAAACCCAAUAACAACUUCCGGGGAGUAUAUGGGGCAAAUUGAAGUGCUCGACAAUUUCAAAUUUAAAGAUCUGAAGUUGGGGCAAUUUGUUUAAAAAAAAAAAAAAAACCGACCAUUUUCAUAAUAUUUCAUAAUAAGUAUGAGGGUAAUAUUUCUAACUUAUAGGGGAUUGUAGUAAUAACGAUUAAUCAAAGUAUACAUAUGUAAUUUUCCCUAAUAAUAACGAUUAAUCAAAGGGUACGGAUGUAAUUUUCUCUCAAGAGAAGAAUAAUUGUUAUGUGAUGUGAAGAAUUAAAAUAGAUAGUAAAAAAAGAAAGCAAAAUUUCAAAUAAACUAUUUUAAAACUAAAGAAAACUCGUUUUUAUAUUUCAUUGAUUGCAAGGGUUAAUAUGAUCAACGUAUGAAAUUUAAAGUCCAAAAUCCAUCUCUAACAACAUGGAUUAUGAGCGAGACUGCGAGGUGCUCCAGCACUAGAAACCCGUCUACGUAAAUAAGCUUACUAAGCUCCUAUCUCCAAGGUGUGGGUCUUGAAUAUACAGGGGAAAGAUUGAAUGAAAAGUGCACAGACGCCCUCCCGAUAGCUGAGAUUUAAUCUAUAAAGAUUUGAGGGCUACAAUUUGAUUUGAUUUUUUGGUUUUUAUAUUUUUACAAAUUAUCAUAUACAAAAAUUUAAAAUCAGAUUCAUUUUUAUAAGAUGUACCCAGCAUAAAUAAAUAAAUAAAUAAAUUUAAGCAAAAAUAAUUACUAAAAUACCCUUAAACUGUUUAGGGUAAUCUAGUUAAUUUUCAUUCAAAUUAUAUUGGGCACGUUUUCUAUGUUCCUGCGGGAGUAUAUUGUGCAUCCACUCCCUUGCCCAAACACUUAUUUAUGAAGAUUCUUUAAGUCUAAAAUUUGAAAUUUUGAGUUUUGUGACCCAUAGAUUCAGCCCUUCAAAAUUUACAUGGUCUUGAUUCAAUCUUGAGAUACUAGUUUUUCCUAGCACAUAGAGAUUUAUUUGAGAAAUUUUUUGAAUUGAGAUUAGUUUAUGGGUUGUGGAGAUUACUUCCCAAAAUUUGAGAUCCAACAAAUAUCUAAAUGGUAUAUUCCCACAGGAGUCUUUUGGCUUUAAUUUUUAUAGAGGUGCAUGAUUUUUAGAUGUAUGAGGAUACCGCCAUGUGAAAAGUAUGGAAAAUGGUUUGAUAGGGCUGCAGCCCUAUCAAAACAAGUAAAGCCACCUUAUAAUUCAUCAAAAAUUACAAUUUAAAUAUUGAACAAAUUUUAAAUCAAUCAUCUCAUCUUGAACAUUAUGGUUGUGAGAAAAAUUAGGAUUUCAAUUUCUAAAAUAGUGUGUAUUGCAAUAAAUCAUCUAGACUAUCCAUUUCACCCUAAACAAAAAUGUUAACAUAUCCUCAAAAUCUGUACCAUUUUCUUGAGUUUCAAAUUUUAUUGUCGAUAUUGGAAAUCGAUUUUAGAGCCAUCAUGAAGAUUUUCGAUGCCUAAAGUGCUUUCUGAAUGAGGAUUUGAGAUGAGGCUUUAUUUUGCUUUCAUAAAGCGUAGGCCCUAUAGGAACUUCAUCUGAAAAGUAUUUGCAAUUGAAACAUAAAAAUAAAAAAAUAAAAUCAAUUUCUAAGCUUUGAAAAGCAAAUUGCAUGUGAGCCAUUAGAGGGCUUCAAGGCUCCACAUCACGAGGAUGUUUAGCCAUCCCAAGAUUCAAUUUGUAAGGCGCACAAUGUUGUGUGCGGAAGCUCUAAACCAGAUGGGUUAUUUUUGGCAAAUAAGUUACGAGUAAAAUAGAAUCAACAACAAGUAAGAAAAAUAAAGCACGAAAGAGAUAGUAUAAAAAAGAGCACUAGAUUUUACUUGAUUCAUCCUAAGAGGGCUACAUCCACAAGCACGACAAACUAAAAUCCAAUAUACCAUUGAAAGUUACAUAAAAGAUUUUGGAACGUAGAGUUACCUCUCUAAGCCUCGACAAAACCAAGUCGAGCAAACCAUUUUAAGCCACUUUCUCGCCUGACACCACAUGUCGUUCUUUCUUCUCUUUACUUCUAGCAACCAUUAUCGACAACACCAGAUGGAGACGAAAAAAACAACGAGAAACUGACUUUUUCUCUAACUAAAAAAAGAAAUCACCAAAAAUCUCCAUAAGAAUCGCUUCUCUACAAAAAAUCAGUACCUCAAUCUAAAGGAGUCUGCAGGAGACAUCAUCGUAACGUUUUUCUCCAUAAGAAUCUGUCUUCUCUUUGAAAGGAGGAAGCCCUACUUCUCAAGCACAGGAGACCUUGCCCCUCUCUCUCUCUCUAGAGAAGAAAUAAUAUUUCCCAUAUUGUGAACCAAAUAGGGCACACUUAUUCUUUCCUCUUUCAUCUCAUAUAUAUAUGGUUUGAAAUCUUAUUAAAUAGAAAACUUCAUAUAGAUGUUAGAUAUAUCUAAAAAACCAAUAGAUAUACCCAAGAGUCAUAACAUUUUUUGAAAACUUAUCAAUCUCAAUCCCACAUAAUAUGGGAUUUUUUGAUGUAAAUGACUUUGGCCAACAAUCUCCACCUUUAUAUUAAAAUCAUCCUUUAGAUAGCUUUAUAAAAUCUUCAUCUUUCAUUUCAGAGUUUUAUGUAAAUUUUGUUGCACUAGCAAAUCUCGAACAUGAUUGGCCAAAUUCCAAAACUCUUUUUUUCAUCACCUUUUUGCACCUCGAACUUCGCAUUUGAAACCUUUACUGCCAUACGGAUAACUCCAAACCAGGCUCGGAUACCACUUGUUGUGCGUUGAAGCUCUAAACCCGACGAGUUUAUUUUUGACAAAUAAAGUAUAAUAAAAAUAGAAGUACAAUAAGAAAGAAAAAAUAAAACAUGAAAGAAAUAAUAGAAAAAGAACACCACAAUUUACAAAAUUUCGUCACAUAAGUGACUACAUCCCUAGGUAAAGACGAUCGAUGUUCUCCACUAAAUCAAAGAAAUAAAAUUACAAGGCACGUACUAGAGAGAACUAGAGACACAUAACUCAAUCUUCCACCAAGUCUUAUUCUCUCUAUAAUUCUCUCUAGAAAAUCCUAAAAAGAUUACUUCUAUCUUUUUGACACUUUAUAUCUCUACAAAAUAACCCAUUAUAUAUAGGAAAAAGCAAAGGGCGAUACUGCUCUUUUGGGUUUACUUUUAUCUCUUUUCCACAUUGUUUUCAUAUCUUAAUUUGAGAGAGAGAGAGAGAGAGAGAGAGAGAGAUUUCAGUUGGAUACGAUGAUAUCCAAAAUCACCCACAUAAAGAAAUCCAAUAUUAUGAGGGAUUGCGAUUGAUAUUGAUAAGCUUCCUAAAGGAAAUAGAAAUCCAAAAAUAUUAGGACCCAUGGAUAUAUAUUUAUUGGUUUUUGAGAUAUAUGUAACUGCUAUAAGAAGUUUGCUGAUAAGUAUGGAAUCCUAAUGUCACGACGCCGUCCCCCUGACCCCUACCGUACAUACUGGAGGGCAACAGGGUGCAAAACUGUGAUCGGAGGUAGCGAAUGCCACUCAGGUGGAAGUGCGUUCAAUGCUUUUUAGAAAGUGGAAUCAAAGCAAACCACGAAAGAAAGUAAAAACCAAACACAAAGGUACAAGGAUCUGGACAAAAUUAAACCAACUUGUAUGUACAUGCUUCAAUUUUUAAUUACAAUCAUGUUCAAGGUACUAAAGGCCCAACUACAAAAUGCAAGAUUUCUCACAAAACAACUAUGUGGCCACAGCCACCAGACACCUACUAUUAAGGUAAAGCCUUCACUCGUCAAGCCCAAAACUUCAGCCACCAACCGCCAGUGCCUAGUUGCCCACUCUCAAGGACCGUAGGUUGUCACUCUACACAGAUAAAGAAAAUCAAAGGGAUGAGCUAUAAAGCCCAGUAAGCAGAUCAACAUCAUGAAUUCUGACCGACAAAACGAUAUUCAUAAACAUUGCCCAAAAAUUCAUGCAAGUGUCAAAACAUGGACUCAUGUGUCACAAUUCUUUUAGCAAUGAUGGGAGAAGUGUAAAAUCCGAUAUUAGAGUAUCAUACAUUGCAUGAGCUAACAGUUACUCCAUCAUUAGUCAUAAUAGCAAAUAAGAAUAACAGGCAACGAACCAAAUGCAUACAGGCAGUCCUAGUGUAGCAUACUCCCGAAAUAAAAGUCCCAUCGAUCAGGCUAGGCUAGUCAUGUAACUUGGAACUUCUUUUCUCAUUCAGGAGGGAAGACAAUGACAAAUGGGGGAUCUAUUUCGUAUUAUAUUCACGUGCACACACAAUCCCCAGCGCGCUUUGGGGAUAGGCUGUGGUCUUGCAAGACAUGACCAUCUCUUUAUGCCUUCCAGGUGAGAUGGAGUUACACUACCAAUGGGUGGCCCAAUGCGUAGUGCCCAUAUAGNNNNNNNNNNNNNNNNNNNNNNNNNNNNNNNNNNNNNNNNNNNNNNNNNNNNNNNNNNNNNNNNNNNNNNNNNNNNNNNNNNNNNNNNNNNNNNNNNNNNNNNNNNNNNNNNNNNNNNNNNNNNNNNNNNNNNNNNNNNNNNNNNNNNNNNNNNNNNNNNNNNNNNNNNNNNNNNNNNNNNNNNNNNNNNNNNNNNNNNGCGUAGUCGCCAUAUAGAUCGUGGGGGGGGGGGGGGGCGUCGACCCUCUCAAAUAUUCACAUUCACAUCCCGACUUCAUUCCUAUCAUUGGGGUUGAGGUAAGAUCAUAACUGCCAGCAUCUUAUCUCAUCAGAAUAAAUUGCACUACCAAUAGAUGACCUGUUGCGUAGUGCCUUAUAUCAAAAGUCUUAGAAAUCUCAUAUCAUACUACCAAUGGAUGUCCCAUUGCAUAGUAAUUCAUAUCAUAGGCUUGUCACAACAGAUUCCCACUACUGAUGGAUGUUCCAUUGUGUAGUGGUUCAUAUCACAUGCUUAUCAUAAAUGAUUCCUACUACCAAUGGAUAUCCCAUUGCGUAGUGUUUCAUAUCACAUGCUUAUCACAACAGAUUCCCACUACCAAUAGAUGGUCCAUUGCAUAGUGGUUCAUAUCAUUUUAAAUCAUAAGCAAGCACAUGCAUAACUCAAGCAUUUAUUCACUCAUGCCUAAGCAUGAGCAUUCACUAUAUCCUGAGCAUGCAUAUUCAAUACUUUAUAACAGAAAAUGUUUUUGAUCAUGAAGGCCUCUUAAAAUAUGAUCUAACUUCCCUUCCAUGGGGAUCUUAUUCACAGUCCCAAUAUUAACUUGAAAGUUAACUCAUCCCCCUUUCAUUUAGAAGGUGUUUAGCCUUAAUCAGAGACAUUUUGCUCAAAGAACAGUCUUUCAUAAAACAAGCAACAUUUCUGAAAUUUCUGCAACUGAUAAUAGUAAUAUACCCACACAAAAUGAGGCAUAACUCUCAAUUUAUGAAUAAUUUAGACAUGGUUUUAAAACCAAAUUUGAAGUAGGACACACAUUUAAAUGUGGUUUGAAGUCCUUUGGACAUCGUUUGAUUAGUCAAAAGUUCAGUAUAAAAUGAGUAACAGUUCUGUAAUUUCUGCAACUUAUGACAGUGACAAAUCCACACAAUCUAGAGCAUAUUUCCUAAUUCAUGAGGAAUUUUGUAAUGACCCAAGAUUUUCCCCAAGUAAGAGAGAAGGAAAGGAAAAGACAUACUUGGCGGGAAGAGUGAAGCAGUGCCGGUUGUGAAGAAGAGAUAGAGAGAGAGAGAGAGAGAGAGUCAGCGUCGAUGGUGAAGAGAGAUAGAGAGUCAACGCUGAUUGUGAAGAAGAGAGAGAGAGCCAACACCAGCUGUGAAGAGAGAGAGGGCCAACGUCGGCUAUGAAGAGAGAGAGAGCCAGUGUUGGCUGUGAAGAGAGAGAGCCAACAUCGGCUGUGAAGAGAGAGAGAGAGCCAGUACCGGCGGUGAAGAGAGAGAGAGCCAGCGCCGGUUGUGGAGAGAGAGAGAGAGAAGUGCAACGCCGUGUGUAGCACUACCAUGCAUGGUCAUUGUUUGCCACCUAUCAACUUUAAGCUGCCACCUACCACUUGAGGGAGUAUUUAAGCCCUCUCCCUCUCCUUCACGCAGUUUCCACUCACACUCUCUUAUUUUUUCUUUCUCACUAAAGCUAACUCUCAAGUCCCUUACCCAUUGUUACCCCAUUACUACCCACCAAGGGAAGCUUUAGGAUUCUGUGCAAGAAGGGGUUAGGAGCACCAUUUUCUCAUCAAGUAAGUGGAUAUAGAUGCUGUGUAUCAUUGUCUUAUUCAAGCAUGAAGUGUAGAUUAGUAGAAUGUAGAAAUAUGUGUGUGACUGUGAAGUCUUGGAAUUUAAGUACUUGAAUCCAUGACUAUUUAGUCUAUAAAAAUGGUGAAAAUGUUUACAAAAUCCUCCUGUGAAUCUAGUUUAAGUGAAGUAAGUUUUGAUCGAAUACUAAACUAUAACUUGAAAGAUAUUGUUAUGCUUGUGUAUGUAGUAAAAAUGGGAGAAAGGAAUAAAGAAAUGAAAUUUCUAGGAACUGUGGGUGUCUUUGUAUCAAAUAUUUAGUGACCAAACAGUGUCCAAAUGGGCUCAAAUUGGUCUUGAAUGAAAGAUAUGUUUGUCCACUACAAUUUUUCUUCUUGUAUAAUCUUGAAAUUCUUCAUAUUUUAGGAUUUACAAUCUAAAAUAUAUGACUAUGUCACUAUUAAUAGACAACAGAAAUUCCAGCCACUGUCAUAUACUUUAUACCAAACUUUUGACCAACCAAUCAGUAUCCAAAUACCUCCAAAUCACCGCCAUUUGAACUGUAUAGGUGUCUACUACAAUGUUUAUGUUUAAAUCUUGUUGAAAUUCUUCACGAAUGAGAAGCUAUACUCCAAAAUAUGCUUACAUGUCACUGUUACCAGAUGCUGUGAAGAUUCAGAACUAUCACCUUACAGUGUCAUGAGUUUUGAUUAAUCAAAUGAAGUUCAAUUGUUUCCAAACUACCACUAUUGGAAAGGUCUAUGUGAAUACUUAAAGUUUCAUGUUAAAGAUUUUCUCGAAAAGCUCCCUAGAUUGAGAGUUAUACCCUUUUUAAGGGGAGUAUGUCACUGAUGGCAAAACUUCCCAGAAAUUGUACUUGCUAAGUGUUAAUGUUCUUUAGUGAGUGCCAUGUGAUAUUCAACUAAUGAAUGUGAAUGCUACAUGAUGAGUACCAUGUAAUAUUCAGGUGAUGAAUGUGAAUCCUAUAUAAUGAUUGCCAUGUGAUAUUUAUGUGAUAAGGGUUUUAUGACUAGUGCCACGUGACAAGUGAUAAGUGGUAAGUGCCUAGUGAUAUGUGAUUUAUAGGCAUGCUUUAAGCAUGACCCUUCGAUAAUGAUAAGGUGGUAUAAGUGACACUAUGUACGAGUAGUCCAUGGUAGUGUGAUGGGAUCUAAUACGAAAUUGAUUGCCGACAGUGUUUUCUAAAUCUCUACGAUAGGAGGGGAGUUAGGAUGAGUGUGAAAUGGGAGGGUUGCACCCCCCGAACAAUAUAUGUGAUGCAGAAAGAAAAUAGUGAAUCAUGUCUUGCAAGGCAAGUGCCUAUCUGAAGCCCCAAAGUGUACUGGGGGCUACAUGUGUGAGUGUGAGGGCAGUACCAAAUGAGACACUCAUUGUCAUUGCCCUCUCUCCCGAGUGAUGUUAGAAGUCCUAAACAAUGGGAUUGACAUGACCUGAUGAAUAGGGCUUCUACUUCGGGAAUAGGUGAAUCUAAGGAGUGAGUGGUUAAUGAUUGGAUGUAUGAAUAUGAAUGAUGAUAGUUAUGCUGAUUAUAUGAUAGCCAUGAUAUUCGAUAUGCCAUCCAUGAUGAAUGUAUUUAUAAGAUUGCUAAAUUGAAUAUUUUUCCACCAUGAUUGCUUAUAGCCAAAAGAAUUAUUCAUGAUGCCUGGAUGGAUAUAUCAUUGAUGUAUAGCAACUAGUUCAUCUUACUAGGCUUUAUAACUCAUUCCUCUUUUUCCAUCCCUGUAGAGUAGAAGCUUUAGGUCAAGAACAACUGGUGGGAUCAUCGAUCUGGUCAAUGAAGGCUUGUAUCUUUUGUUUUUAUGUAUUUUGCGGUUGUGGGCCAUGUUUUUGUCGCUUUUGAAGUAAGAUGUUGUGUACCAGGCCAUCGGUGCCUUGAACAAUUGUAUUACUGAAAGUUGUUUAUGUAAUAAUAUAAGUUUCAGUUUUAUUUUACCCAGUCUCUUGUAUGGUUGUGUUUAGAUUGUUUUCUUUAUUUUUGUGGUUUUCUUUAAUUACCUUUUCUCUAAAACGAUGAGCGCACUCCGACCUGAGUGGCAUUCGUUACCUCUAUGAUCACGGUCCCUCAUCCUGUCGCCCUCUGAUGUGCCGUGUAGGGGCCAUGGAGUGGGGUCGUGAAAAAUUUCAAGAUAGUUUCAAAACAAAAUUUGAAGUUGAUACACAUAUCCUUUAUUUAAAAUUACUUUGAAGUCAUUUGAAUACCGUUUGAUCAGUCAAACGUUCAGUACAAAAUGAGUAACACUUCUGUAAUUUCUGCAACUUAUGACAGCGACAUGUCCACACACUCUGGGGCGUAAUUCCUAAUCAAUGAGGAAUUUCAAGAUAGUUUCCAAACAAAAUUUGAAUUAGAGACAUAUAUAUUUUAUUUAAAAGUAGUUUGAAGUCAUUUGGACACCGUUUGAUUAGUCAAAAGUUCAGCACAAAAUGAGUGACAGGUCUGUAAUUUCUGCAACUUAUGACAGUGACAUGUCCACACAUACGAGGGCAUAAUUCCUAGUCCAUGAAAAAUUUCAAGAUAGUUUCAAUUCAAAAUUUGAAAUAUACAUACAUAUAUUUCAUUUAAAAUUGGUUUGAAGUCAUUUGGACACUGUUUGAUCAGUCAAACGUACAGUACAAAAUGAGUGACAGUUCUGUAAUUUCUGCAACUUAUGACAGUGACAUGUCCACACAAUAUGGGGCACAAUUCCUAAUCCAUCAGAAAUUUCAAGAUAGUUUCUAAACCAAAUUUUAAUUAGACACGUCCAUUUUUUAAAUAAAGGAAGUUUGAAGUCAUUUGGACACUGUUUGAUCAAUGAAAAGUUCAUUUAAAAAACGUAUAGAGUUCUUGGAAUUCACAACAAAGCUUUGACAUACAUUAUCGAAUGAUCAAAAACUCCCAAACCAAAAUGGGUAUUAACUUAAGACCUUUUUCAUCUUAAAUUAGAUUCACAUGAGUACUAUUCCACAAAUUUUCAUAACCAUCAAAAGUACUUUCAAAGUUCAACUUAUCAUGCAAAUGAGAGCCUUAAACCUGAAAAAGCAGAGCCCAAAUAAGUACAAGUUUACUAACAGGCAGCCACAUCCCCAUGCUCAUACUGUUCUUAAAUCAAAACUAAGGAGACAUGAGUGUAAGAUCCACUUACCUGUGAUCAAAUGUGUCCCCAAAAUUCCCCAUGCAAGUCAAGCCCCAAGCUUUCCAUUAAUGGCUUUUAAAAGGGGUGGAAGCUCUAAGUGUUGAGAGUGGGUUUCCAAGAGUGGAAGAGAAAAACAAAAGCUUGAGAGAGGAGAGACGGGGCUUAAGUAGCUCAAUAGUGGGAGGUUGCAGCCCGAAAUUGUCAAGUGGCAUUCCCAUCCUCAUGCAAAUGGACAAGUGGCAUGUGUGACAACAUGCAGAGGACAAAUAGCUCAUAUGGGGUAUGCAUGGGCAUAACAUUACACUCACGACGACUGCUCCUCUUCACACACAACGAUUGAUGCUCGAUGCUAACAUUGACGGCAGCUAACACUGAUGGUGGCUGCCACUCAUGGUGGCAGCUCCUCUUCACACAUGGCGGUUGAUGCUCAAUGCUGACACUCACGGCAACUGACACUCACGGUGGUUGAUGCUCAAUGCUGACACUCACGGCGGCUGACACUCAAGGCGGCUGACACUCAAGGUGGCUGACACUCACAACGGCUGCUCUUCUCUCUUCUCCCUCUUACUGUCGUGCGAGUUCUCUUCACUGCCGCGCGUGUCUCCAAGCCCGAAAAUCUGGGUCGUUAACUUCCCCCCCCCCUUAAAAGAUAUUUUAUCCUCAAAAUCACAUCUCCGUUAAUCAAACAAAUGGGGGCACUUAUCCCUGAUCCCAUCUUCUCGCUCUCAGAUCGACUCCUCCCGAGAAUGGUACUACCACAACACUCGGACCAGAGGGAUCUCCUUGUUACACAACACAUAUACCCUUCUAUCCAGUAUCUCAAUUGGCCGCUCAAUGAAAGUCAGAUCUUUUCUGAUCAGAAUUGGCUUAUAAUUCAGAAUAUGUGAUGGGGUUGAUACUUCGUCAAUAGAGAUAUAUGGAAGACAUUGUGGACGUUUGCCAACCCUGGUGGUUGGGGAAGUCGAUACGCCACACUUCCAACUUUUUUCAGGAUCUCAAAAGGUCCAAUAUAAUGGGGGCUCAAAUUUCCUUUCUUAUCGAACCUGAUAAUGCCCUUAGUUUGAGAUACUUUCAAGAAAACCUGAUCCCCCACCUCAAACUCGAGGUCUAUUAUUCGGUUAUCGACAUAACUCUUCUGUCGAGUCUAAGCUAUCUUGAGCCUCUCUUGACUCGAAGAAAUCUUUUCUGAGGUUACUUCAACAAUUUCGAGGCUUAAGAGCUUUCUUUCACCAAUCUCAUUCCAACAAAUGGGUGACCUGCACUUCCUCCUAUACAGGGCUCAAAAGGGACCAUCUAGCUUGGAAGCUGUUUUUAUAGGCGAAUUCAAUCAGAGGUAGAUGAUCAUCCCAGUCCCCUUAAAAUCAAAGACAUGUGCCCUUAACAUAUCUUUCAGGGUCUGAAUGGUUCUCUCUGAUUGUCUAUCAGUCUGGGGGUGAAAGGCAGUGCUAAAAGUAAGUCUCGUCCCCAAGGCUGACUACAGACUAGCCCAAAAUCUAGAGGUGAAUCUAGUGUCCCGGUCGGACACGAUAUUGACUGGUAUUCCGUGCAGCCUUACUAUCUCCCUGAUGUAUAACUAGGAUAGUUUAUCCAAGGUAUAGGUCAUGCGGAUCGGCAAGAAAUGAGCAGCUUUGGUCAGCUAGUCCACAACGACUUAAAUACUAUUAUGUCCAGAAUUUGUCCUUGACAAACCAGAGACAAAGUCCAUAGCAAUGUGCUCCCAUUUCCAUUCUGGCAUGGGCAAGGGUUGCAGCAAUCCGACAGGCUUCUGAUGCUCAGCCUUCACUUGCUGGAAUGUGAAGCACCUAGAAACAAACACUGUUAUUUCUCCUUCAUGUCAAUCCACCAGAAGGUUCUCUUUAGAUCUUGAUACAUUUUGUGCUCUCUAGGUGCACAACAUAACGAGAAUGGUGCCGUUCUUCUAAAAUAGCCUUCUUCACAUCUUCGUCAUUAAGAACACAGACCUGAUCCCUGAAUCUUAACAAGUCAUCACCACUUACAGAGAAAUCAUCUUUUCUUUCCGGUUUUAUUUCUUCCAAAAUUUUCAUGAGCUGGAUAUCCUUCUUUUGUGCCAUUCGGAUCUGUUGAAAGAUUUGGGGCUCCAUCCUUAUGCAAGCGGCCAUACUUACCUCAUCACCAAGGGGAAGAGCUGAGUGCCAUUCCACCGCAUCUUCUAACAAUCUUAUCUCUCGAAUCAUUAAAUGUGUCACUGAUCCCAUGGGCUUCCUGCUCAGAGCAUCUGCUACUACAUUAGUCUUGCUUGGGUAGUAAUUGGUGGUACAAUCAUAAUCGUUCAAUAGAUCCAUCCAUCUCUUUUGCCACAUGUUCAACUCCUUCUGGGAAAACAGGUAUUUUAGGCUCUUAUCAUCAGUAAAUACCUUAAAUUGGGCUCCAUAGAGGUAGUAUCUUUAGAUUUUCAAGGCGAAUACUACAGCCGUAAGCUCCAAUUCAUGAGUUAGAUAAUUUUGCUCAUAUAUCUUUAACUGUCUGAAGGCAUAAGCAAUAACCUUUCCUCUCUGUAUAAGCACACACCCGAGCCCUUUAUGAGAAUCAUCGGUGUAGACCACAAAGUCCUCAUUUCCUUCGGGCAAGGUUAGUAUCGGAGCCAUAGUCAGUUUCUUCUUUAGUUCUUGAAAACUUUUCUCGCAAUCAUCUGACCACACAAACCUUACCUCAUUCUGGGUUAAGUGAGUAAGGGGAAAUGCUUUGAAAAUCCUUCUAAAAAGCGUCUAUAAUAACCUUCUAAUCCAAGAAAACUGCGGACCUUUGUCACAUUCGUUUGUCUUCCCCACUUAAGUACAACUUCAAUCUUACAAGGGUUAACCUCGACUCCAUCCUUAAAAACAAUGUGCCCCAGGAAGGCCACGCUAGGAAGCCAAAACUCACUCUUGCUAAACUUAGCAUACAACAUUUUUGAAUUCAGAGUCUGAAGGACCAUUCUUAGAUGUUGAUCAUGCUCUUCUAGGUUCUUCGAAUACACCAAAAUAUCAUCUAUAAAUACCACAACAAAAGUAUCUAGAAAGGGUCUGAAAUUAUAUUCAUCAGGUCCAUGAAAACAGUUGUGGCAUUAGUCAACCCAAACGGCAUUGCUAUAAACUCGUACUGGCCAUAUCGGGUUUUGAAUGCACUCUUGGGAACAUCUCCCUCCUUGACUCGCAGUUGGUGAUAGCCCGAUCGGAGAUCAAUCUUAGAGAAUACUUGGGCCCCUUGAAGCUGGUCAAAGAGGUCGUCAAUCAUAGGCAGGGGGUAUGUGUUCUUUACUGUGACUUGAUUCAACUGCCAAUAGUCUAUACACAGUUUCAUGGACCCAUCUUUCUUCUUCACAAACAAGACAGGUGCACCCCAAGGUGAUACACUGGGUCGGAUGAACCCCUUUUCCAACAAUUCAUGCAAUUGCUUUCUCAGCUCCUUUAAUUCGGCUGGGGCCAUCCUAUAAGGGGCUUUGGAGAUGGGAGUAGUACUAGGGACCAUAUCUAUCUCAAAUUCUAUCUUCCUUACUGGGGGCAAAGAGGUAAACUCAUCAGGAAAAACUUUUUAGUACUCUCUUACCACUGGUAUCUCCUCUAACUUAGACUGGACAUCCCGAUUUUCUACUAUGUAGGCUAAGUACCCAACAUAUCUUUUAGCCAGAAGACGGGAAGCCUGAAGGGAAGAGAUAAGUUGUAGAGGGGAAGCUCCCUUAAUACCAACAAAAAGCAACUCAUGCUGGUUUGGGUGUCUAAAGGUCACAGUUUUAUUGUAACAAUUUACUAUAGCAAGAUGUGUGGACAACUAGUCCAUGCCCAAGAUACUUAGGAUUAAUAUUCAAAAGUAUCAAAUCUAUAGGUAGAACACACUCUUAAAGCAAAACCCCACAUUGUUUAUAAACCAUAUCAGUCUCUAUAGAUUCCCCCAUAGGCGUGCAUACUACCAAUGUUGUCAAGAAGUGAAGGUCUAGCAUUUAUGUGGCAUGCAAAGUGAGGUGCAACAAAAGAAUGAGAAGAUUCAGGGUCAAUCAAAAUUCUAGCUUCCAUACCACAAACAGAGAGCUUACCUCGGAUUACAGAGGUAAACGCCUUGGCUUCCUACUCCAUGAGUGCAAACACCCGACCUUGCGUCCUUGGUCUGUUCUCUGACCCCUUUGCCAGGCAGUCCUUGAUCAGGUGGCCAUGCUUGCCACAUCGGAAACAUGACCCCGCCUUUUUAUAGCACUCGGCCCCAGAAUGGCCGCUUAACCCACAGUAAG